ACAUAGUAUCACCCAUGCGACCUAGCUACAUCAUAAUGUCUUGUACUCUCUUGUACACAUGAUGUGCACUCAGCACCAUACAUGUGACCUAGCUACAUACCAUCUGUAUCAUCCAAUCUUUCAGAAGGUUCAACCGGGAUUUCUCUCUCUUUUCCAACAAUUUCACCAAUCAAGUAAUUAUCAACAAACAUAUUUCCAACAUUAUUAUAAAAUAUCAUAAUACAAGUAAAAUUGAUGUAUUACUUACAUAUAAACUUACAUCUCAUUUAAUAUCAAGGUAAUAACAUUAAAUUACACAUUGCCUUAUUAAAAAUCAUAUGAACUUACAAUUUCUCAUAAUAUCCAUAAUCAUAGAAAUCACAUUUAUGUAUGAUAAUUCAAUGCACUUCAUGUACCAUAGACAUAUUUUUAAAUCAAUUCAUAAACUGGGCACCAUAAACAUUUAAUUUAACAUAAUUCAAUUAAUUCACUAAAUUUAACUUUCAAAUAUAAAUUACAGCAUUAUUGUUGUAUUAUUAUCACACCAACUUACAUACUUUCAACACCUCGACAAUCAUAGUAAAUAUAUCAAUUUUACAUUGAAACAUGCAUAAAUUAAUGCUUAUUAUACAUAUGAACUUACCUCGAUACUAAAACGGUCAUUUUACCAACUUUCCCAAUUUUUGAUUUUUCUCUCAUUCUAGGUUCAAAUCUCGUUUUCCAAGAUCUAAAACAUCAUAUUUUACUUAUUUAAUUAAUGUACUAUUCAAAACAGUCCUUAACUCAAGCUUUAGAAAAAUUACAAUUUUGCCCCUAAACUUUUGCAUAUUUAUGCUUUUGCCCCUAGGCUCGGGAAUUAAACUUCAUCCCUUAUUCUUAUGUUUUAUGACAUGCUGAUCACUUUUCCCUCCUAUGGCAACAUCAAAUUCUCACUCUAACAUAUACUUAUGACUAUUAGGUAUUUUUACCGAUUAAGCCCUUUUACUCCUUUUCACUCAAAACCGAGUAGCACAAGUUGUCUAACAUAACUUAAAACCUCAUAUUCUAUCAUAAAAAAUCAAAAUAAACACAUUUCACAUAUGGGUAUUUUUCCAAAUAUGAACCCUAGCUUAAAUUAUUGCUAGAAUAAGCUUAAUCAAAUUACCGGGAUUCCAAAAACGUAAAGAACUUGAAAAACGGGGUUCGAACGGACUUACUAUUGAGCUUGGAAAGCUUGAAAACCCUAGCCAUGGCUUCCCCCAUGCUAAUUUCAGCCUCCAUGAAAAAGAUGAGUCAAUUUUGGCUUUAUUUUCCCUUUUUAUUUCUUUUAAUUACCAAAUGACCAAAAUGCCUUUCCUUACUAAACUUUCAAAAAUUCCAUCCAUGUCCAAUUUUUUCCCAUAACUUAGAAAUUGGUCAAAUUUCUAUUUAACACCUCCUAAUUAAUAUUUCAAAGCAAUUUCAUACUAGAAACUUCUAGAAUGCAAGUUUUACAACUUAUUCAAUUUAGUCACUAACUUCAAAUUGAGCACUUUAUGCAUAGAAUUUCUUCACGAAAUUUUCACAAAAUCAUGCAAUCAUAUCAUAGACCUCAAAUUAUUUCUACCUCGGAUUUUGUGGUCCCAAAACCUCUGUUCCAACUAGACCCAAUUUUGGGCUAUUACACCAUUAUCAUCCAAUAACUCAUUAAUGGGUUAAUUACCAUUUAGGGACUUCUACUUUAAUAUUCCAUAGCUAUUAGACACCUUUAGCUAGUAAAACUCAAGUUUUACACUUUACGUGAUUUAGUUCUUUUUAUCAAAUUGAGCACUCAAACGAUAAAAAUUCUUAUUAUGCUGUAGACAUUAAAAUAAUAAUAAAAUAGUUAUUUUGACCUCGGAUUUGUGGUCCCAAAACCACUAUUCUGAUUCGACUAAAAACGGGCUGUUACAAGUUAAACAAAUUCAUUCUUGUGAUAAUUUAGGAAAUCUUUUUACAAAGGCAUCACCAACUUCAACGUUUGAAAGACUACUACAUAAGACCGGAAUGCUUCAACUAAAAGAUGUAAUGUGAUAUUUCCAUUAAGGGGAGUAAAAAAAAAAGUUCUACUCUUUUCCUUUAACUAAUGUUUUGUCCCACUAGGUUUUCCUAGUAAAGUUUUUUAACAAGGUAGCUUGUAAUAAUAGAUUAUGUACUCUUUUUCUUUCACUAGAUUUUUAUCCCAAAGGGUUUUUCCUAAUAAAGGUUUUAAUGAGGCACAUUUUUAUUUAAAAGUCAUCCUGUAACACCCCUAUAACCCGUGUCCGUCACCGGGGUGGGUUAUGAAGAGUUACUGAUUCAAAAUUUAAUAUUUUAAAAACAUACACAAUAAAAAAAUAAAAUAAAAAUAUACAUCGCCAAACUCAGUUAAAGAUCGAAAUUCAAUCUUGUAUCGACAUUCAAAAGUAGCCAUAUUCACAUGGCUUAUAUAUAAGUACAUCUCAAAAUAUCAUUCUCUUAAGUCUAUUCCAUACAUGCCAUACUAGCUUCAAAAUAUAGUAGUACCCCAAAAUGACAGAUAGUGUGACGAGUAGCUGACGAUUCCCUUUUCGAGCAGGUAACUGGAAUCAAUAAUCUAUAAAACAGAGAAUGUAACAAACGAAGUAAGCUUUCAAAGCUUAGUAAGGUUUAAGCAUCACAAAUAAUUAAAACUUAUUGAAAAUCAAAACAUUCAUUUAAACAGACUUAUUCUCAAUUCAAAUUGCUUCAUGGCCGAAUACACAUAAACAUAAACAUAGAUUCUCAGCACAUAUUUUUCUUUUACUAAUAGUUCAUACGAUGCAUUUAAAAUAAAUAAUCUCAUAUAUUAACAACAUUUGAUCGAAUAGGUCAUUGCUUUACUCGUAGAAAUAACAAUCAUUCACACUUAAGUAUCAUUCUUUAAUACUAAUAAUUCACAAAUCAUUGGCUGAAUGUACAUGAGUACAUAAAGAAAUUUUAAUAUAUAAUUCAUAUACAAAUAUAUCAUGACCGAUUAAAUCAUUCUCAUAUUCGCAAAUAUAACCAUCAAUUACACUUAUAUAUAUAUAAAUGUAUAUAUAUAUUCUUCUUUGAUGCUAUGAUUCACUUCGAAAUCAAAUCACCGAUGUGUAAGUAAUACGUACCUGAACACCUUAAAUGUAUAGUACUUACUCAACGAUGAUUUACUGCGAACAUUCAAUAUCGUAGUCUUACUUAAUUACUGGCAUUAAGCCUGUCAGGUCUUAGAACUUGAAACCAAUUACCAGCACAAGCCUGCGGGAAUUUAAACCCGGUAUAAUACCAACUCGAAGCCUACGGGACUUUUGCCCGGACAUAUUUCCAGCGCGUAGCCUGCGGACCUUAAGUCCGGUUAUAAUUCCAGCACAUAGCUUGCGGACCUUAAGUCCGAGUAUAAUUCCAGCAUAUAGCCUGCAGGUCUUUAAGCCCGGAUAUAAUUCUAGCAUAUAGCCUGCGGGUCUUUAAGCCCGGAUACACAUCAAAUAUCAUGCAUAUUUAAUCAUAUAUUAACACAACUUAUUCAACAUAUCACAUUAGUAGUUAUUUGCUACGUUCGGAUAUAAGCUCCAUAUGAUUACCAUCAUUUACAUUUUGAUUCGAAAGCCAUACAUAAAUAUCACAUAUCAAGGCAUCAUCAAUUAUAUACUAAAGGUGACUACUCAAAACUUACCUCGAAUAUUUUCGAACAGUCUCGGAUCGGCUAUUCAACUACUUUCUCUUUUCCCUUGUCCAACCUUGGUUCUCUAUGCUCUUGAGCUUCCUUAUGAUUCAAAUGGCCGAAUGUCUUGCUCCAUUUUUUUCUUUCUUUCUUUAGAUUCGGCUAAGAAGAACAAAGCUGAGACUUUGUUUUCUUCACCAUUCUUUCUAUUAUUAUUUUAUUUUAUUCAUCUAUAUUAUAAAGUAUAAAGCCAUUUAACUAAUAAUUAAUACAUAUAUUUAAUAUAAAAGCAUCAUCAUGGCCGGCCACUAUAAACAAAAAUGUAUAUUUGACAUGCAAGUCCAAACCUUUUGUGACAUGCAUUAAUAGACCCCCUUUUUAAAAUUACCUAUCACCUUCCACAAUUAUUUCACAUAAGUCCUAUUUAAUAAUUUCAGAUACAAAUGACAAAAUUAGAGCAUGAAACUUUCACAUAUGCAUGUACACAUAUAAUAAGCAUAGAAUAUAAUAGUUAAUUAUUUUUAUGACUCAGUUUUGUGGUCCCGAAACCACUUUCUGACUAGGGUCAAAUUAGGGCUGUCACACAUCCAAUGGAGAGUGUUGUAAAUACAUUAAUAAUGGAUGUCUAUGACACCUUUAAGCCCACAUUAAAGUAUUGAGAUAAAACUCUCUGGUUCAUAUAUGACCAUGAGAGUAAAUUAGAUGUUUCAAUUAAGAAGCUAAAAAGGCUUCAUUUACAUGAACUUCAUUGAAUGCAAAGGAGUUUAUAAAUAAAGUCCCUUAAAGUGAAAGUGGAAUGCAAGAAAUUCUCUUGUAGAUUUCACCUACUAUGUACUUGUUAGUAUUGUUCUCUUUAUUAUUUUAUAACAAUAUUUUUUUAAUAUAAUUGUUACUGCUAGUCAUAAACACUUCAAACUCUUAAAUCAAAAGAUAAAAUGUACUUAUGUCACGAGUUGCAAAUCAAAGCCUAUGACUAUUGCAUAUAGAAAGUCCUAUGAAGGUCAACUUAUUAAAUGGAGCACAUUUGACCCAUAUGAACUGACCCGAUUCGUGGAACCAUGAAUAAGCUUAUCUACUAGAAGCUUUGGUGGUCUAAUGAAAUACUCCAGUAAAACUAGAGUUAUCAGGGUAAUUAAUAUAAAUUUUUAAGGGAUAAAGAUAUAUAGUGUGUAAAUUUCUUAGGACUCUCAAUUGUAAAUAGGCUCUAAUCUUAAUUGUUGAUGUAACUCAAUUUGUAAUAUUGGAUCUGCAUGAGUUCAACUAUAAGUAGAUGUCUCCCUCUUCAUUUGUAAUCAUCACAUUGUAUUUUAUUCUUGGAUUAAGGAAUAUAUUUGAGAGUUUUUACUCAAAUACUAGGUGUGAAUUGCUUUUUUGUGGUUUUUCAAUUCUCUCGUAACUUUUUCAUCUUUUUAGUUGCUUUCAUUUUGUUUUUGUCACCUUAGAGAAUUUCAAUGAAAAUUCUCACUUUCCAAGAGUAAUGCUGACUUAGGCAGAUUUGAAGCAAAGAAACGCCUAACGCCGCAUAGUUUGCCAGACUUAAGUUCUAGCCCCAUAUACUUACGUGCACUGUGUAAUAGCCAAUUUUGACCCAGGCCAAUAAAACAAAAAUAAAACCCAAAUUCAGACCCAAUUACAAAAGCCCAAAACCAACUAACCCUAGCCCACUAGCUAUCAAAAAUUUUUAGCAAGCAACCAAACCCUAGCUCCCUCUUUAGCCACCGCUCUUCACUAGCAAGGCCACCACGCGCGCCUCUUCGUCAAUCUCUGACAACCACCUCCAACACACAAGUAAAAGACGACAAAUAGAAGAAACAAAUAACAAAGAGACAAAAAAAAUAGAAAUAAGAAGAUGGUAGUUUCGGCUAUAAAAGCCAUGACAUUUCAAUGUAUUGCUUCUUCUUUUUUCAGAUACAAUAAAAAUCAAUUAAAAAACUAAAAACUUUCAAACGUGGCUACUUUUUUUAUUUUUUGUCCUUAAGUUGCUGCUAUUUUUAUUUUCUUUUAGUUUUUCUUCUUUUUUAUGCAAAAAAAUAUAAAAAGAUAUAAAAGGAAAAGAGUACUCACCUCCGUCGAUCUCCUCGGCGUCGGAAAAGUCCCUAUCGCGCAACGUCGACCACUGGCCCAUGACGGCGGCGCAAUGGACACCGGGGAAGUCCUAUCGUCGGACAAGGGAGAGAAGAGAGAGAGUUGAGAGGAUUUCAAUUUUUUUUUAAAGAGAAAGGAAUGAAAUGAAAAAAAAACCAAAAAUGGGGCUUAAAUAAUGGGUUUGAAACGACAGCAUUUUGGGUGGCCUUCCCAGGCACAAAACGACAUCGUUUUAGGGAAGGCCAACCCGAAUCCGACCCGUACCCAGGGGGAUCCGCGCGUUUCUAUUUUAUGGGUUAUUUUCAAAAAUGGUCCCCCCGCUUUUGUGGCUUUAUUCAAUCAGGCCUAUUUUUUGUUAUUUUUAUUUUUAUAGAUUUUACCCAUUAAUUUUGUAUAGUUUUUAAUCGGGUCCCCGACCCACUGAUGCUUUUAAAAAAGGACACAUGUUUUAGAGAUGGGGUUAAUUGCCUUUUUAGUCCCCGAAUGUUUUCACACACUUAAUUUCAAUCCUUUGUUUUAUUUUAUUAUUUAAAUUGUUUGUUUUAUUAUUGUUUUCUACUUUUAAUUUCAUUUCUAUUUUGAUUUAGUCCUAAUCUAUUGGAUUUUAACCUUUUAAUUUGUUAUUUAUUUAAUAUUUAAUAUAUUAUUCCUUUCAAAUUAUUUUACUCGUUUUAAAUUUCUUUUUUAGAUAUUAUUCAUAUUAAACUGUUUUAUUUUUUAUAUAUAUUCUGUCUUUAAAUUUUAUUUUUUUUUGGUUUUAAACUCUUUUACAUAUUAUCUCUAUUGAAUUUAUAUAUAUUGUCACUACAAGAAAACAGACUUUGAGCAGCUGUUUUUUUAGCCUUUAAAAGCACCGCAAAAACUAUUAACGGCGUUUUCCCAAGCGCUGCAAAAAAACGCCGUUAUAGGAGACGCCGCCAAAUUUUGCAGCGUUUAUCUGAAAAAACCACCGCAAAAGAUCAAGACUUUUAGCGGCGUUUGUUGGGGAAGCGCCGCUAAAAGUCAUGGCUUUUUAGCGACGCUUUUUUCACAAACGCCGCUAAUUUGGCAGAUUUGAAAUGUACAUUUUUACCAAUAUUCAACCCUUCCUGCAUUAAAUCCAACCAAAAACAGCAAAUAUAGCAUAAAAAAUAUAAUCAAAAACAUUAAAUCUAAACGAUACUUCAAAUUCAACGAAAGAUCUAUGAUAUAAUUAAUAAAUUAAGUAAUAUUCUUACAAAAUGUUAAAUGUGACAAUGUUAAAAACAUUCUUACAAGGAGAAAACUAAUGUCUAAGACGGCGGCUUUUGCGACUGCUGAAACAUCUGCAUCAUUUGCUGAAGCUGCAAUUGAAGCUCAUCGUACUUUCUGCUCUGCUCUGCCUCCCUCGUUAUUGCCGCUGCCUCCGCUCUAAGUUGUUGCUGGAGUUCUUCAUAUUUUCUUUGAACCUCGACAAUUUGCUCAACCGUGUUCGAUUGCAUCUGAGCUAUCUGGUCUCUUAACCUUUGAACUUCAGCUUGAGCUUGACUCCCGGAAGGCAUGUAUUGCUGGGAGCCGGAUCCAAAAUAUUGGGUCAGGGUAACACCAGAUCCUUGAAAUCGAACCCGACUGUACCUUUCAGGACCCAAAACUUCAUUGAUAAUUCUGUUAUCAAUGUUCUCAAGAUUAACAGAACUAUCAGUUUAAGCAAUCGCUUCAUACUCCGCCUUCUUCUCCUUUAGUUUCUCUUAAAAAAAUCAAUUAAAGAGUUAGAAACGAAAUAUAUAAUAAAAAGGAAUGGAACAUAAACUUAACAUUAUUUAAAACUAGUAAUGAAAAAUUAAACCAUAAUUAAUUAAACAUUAAAAAUAUUUAUAAUAAAUCAAAUUUUAUUAAGUAAAUAUACCAUAAUUUCUCCAGUUUCGGAUGUCAUAGGAAAUCCAUCUUUCUUUUUAUGUGUAAUCUCAAAAAGCUGAAGGGGUCCAACUUUUUGACCAGACGAGAUUUCCUACAAUAAAGUAGUAAAAAUAUUAUUUAAUGAAAGUUAUUAAUAUUUAAAAGAAUUAAUAAAUUCAUAAUACCUCAGCCUCAGCUACAAAAGCAAAACUUCUCGACCCUGUCGUGUGCGUGAAUUUUUGUUUUUGUCUGCUACUUGUUCCAACUCGCUCAUGAUCCUAUAUAAUAAAAUUAUUAUUAUGUAUAUAGUAAACACUAUAUAUAAGAUUUUGGAAAUACGUAAUACCUCUCCUUUCUUUGAAUUCCAGAAUCUAACUGCAUAUUCUCAUUGGUACCUCAGCAUUUCCGGCGGGACAUUUUUCAAUUUUUCCUUGAGGCUUAUGUCUUUCUUAAAAUAUAGUUUUUUCAAACUGCUUUUAUGGUCUCUCCAUUUUUUUCCCAAUGCCUUCUUGAUAUAGUCAUCGGAGACCUCUAAAGUAAAUCUCUCCUGAAAAAACACAAGUUUAGAAUAUAAAUAUAAAUGAAACUUAAACCAAAGUAUUAUAAAUUACAUUCACGUUUUGUUACCUUAAUAUUAUCCAGAGCUUGAUUUUUGUUGCUAUCAGGCAUGUGAUGCCAUGAUUCGUAGUUGAUGGGCAACAUAUUGGCAUUUCGUGAUAUAAUGCCCAAAUAGCCUGCUAAAAGUCGAGCUUUAGAUCCAACAGGCUGACCAUAACUGUUUCACUCGACUGGAUUUAAGUCGUAUAAAUCUUUAAGCAGCGUACGUCCUCGACCUCUACGCGUCCCACCACUUUCAGCUGAAAAAUGGUAUAUUAUUAUAUUAAAAUUGAAAAAUAAAUCAAUAAUAAAAGUCGACACAUGUAAAAUGAACUUAACAUUACUUUGAAAUUUUGCAAGCUCGUCAAGUGUCUCUGGCACAUUCGAAGAUCCAACAACUGUCUGUUGUUCACUAUUUGCUUCUUCUGUAUUUGGAGUAUUCUGGACAAUACUUAAAUCUUGUAAUCUUCUUCUACGCAUUUUUCCUGCAAUACACAUAAAAUAGUUAAAAUUUUAGUAACAAAUUACAACAAUAAUAGUACAUAUAAAAUAGUUAAAUAAUAUAACAUUACCAAGAUUAAAAUUAUAAUAUUACAUAUAAUUAAAAAAUCGUAAAAUCUUACUGUUGAAACCAUUUUUUUGAAAAAGAGAAAUCGACUUUUGAAAAUGAAAAGUUGGGAGUCGCCACCAAUCGUUUUUAAUAGGGUGUGAUUGGAUCACCUUAAAACACGGUCGUUUUUAAUAAAUAAAUAAAUUUUUCAAAACGACGAUUUUGGUCUGCGAAAAUAGAAAACCGGUUCGGGAGUUAGUUACGUACGAGGAAGGAUUAGCACCCUCGACACGCCCAAAAUUGGUACUUGAUUGAUUAUUUAGUGUCUUAAUGUCGAAAAUUAAAGAUUUGGACAGAGUUCAAAACGCGAUCCUCCUUUUAUUGGCUUUUAAAACAUUUAGGUAAGUCAAAUGUGUAUUAAAGACCAUCUCACCUCAAGGUAAAACAUUACAUCCAGCACGUUAGGACACAACAUUUUUUACUCUCAAUUGUGAGCUUGCCUUUAAAACAUGCAUUUUUGCCUUAAGAGGAUAUUCGAAUAUUCAAAACAAACAAAGAAAGCGAAACCCAGUACGUUAGGGCACGAUUCUUCAAAUUCUUUACAUACCGAACAUUGCCUUUAUUUUGAAAAUUUUUGAGAGUGAACUGGUAAGAGGAUAUUCGAAUAUUCAAGACAAACAAAUAAAGCGAAACCCAGUACGUAGGGCAUGAUUCUUCGAAUUCUUUAAAUACCGAACAUUGCCUUUAUUUUAAAAAAAUUUGAGAGAAGAUCAAUGGAUAAAUGAAUUAAGGACAUAGAUUUUUUUAAAAAUGAUGAUAAUAGACAACAUGAAAAUAAUAAUAUGAGAAUAAUGCUAACCAUAUAUAAAUAAUAAAAUAAUAAUAAUAGUAAUUAAUAGAAAUAAUUAAUAAAACAACAGUAAUAAUCAAUACAAUAAUGUAAUAAACAUUGUGCUAAUAGUAUUAAUAAUAAUAUUAAAAACAUGAUGAUAAUAACAAAAAAUAUGUUGAUGAUAACAUUAAAUAUGGGGGAUAAUAGUAAAAAAAAAUUAGAAUAACAAUGUUAAAUUAGUAAUAGUGAGAAAUAGUAAAUAAUAAUAAUUUGAUAUAAAAAUGGUAACCGAUAAUAAACAAUGGUAUAAAAAAUAAUAUAAUAAGUCUAUGUAUAAUAGAAAUUUAUAUUUAAAAUAAUUAACUUCGCUUAAAAAUAUAUAUUUACAUAAUAAAUAUAUAAUAAUAAAUAAAUAAUAUAAUAAUAUGAAACAUAACUCAAAUUAAUUAAAUUAAUAGAAAAUAAUAAAAAACAAAUAUAAAAAUAAUGAGAAUAAAGCUCAAAUUAAUUAAUUUAACAGUAAAAUAACAAAAAUAAAAAAGGGGUUAAAUUGAAUUAAAAAUGAAAACUUUGGGGCCAAAUCAGAAAGGAAAUAAAAUCAGAGGUAAACUCCCUCUCUUUUCCCUUCUUUCGUUUGUGUAAAGAAAAAAUGUGAACGCCAAAGUAAACAAAAUUGAAUAAUAUAAAAAGUUACCUUAAAAAUCUGAUUUGUAUUCUCUUUGAUUUCGUAUGUGUAUUCUCUAAAAAAUUCCCCCAAAAAUCCUCUAAAAAUCCUCUCCUAAAAUCCUCCCCAUACAAUAGUUUUUCCACGGCUUUUAUAGCCAAUUUUUACAACUUAUAACAAGUAGGGUGAUGGAGGUAGUGGCGGUGAUGGAGGUAGUGGACGGUUUAGUAGGUUGUGGGGGUGAUGGAGGUAGUGGAUGGUUUAGUAGGGUGAUGGAGUUAGUGGUCAGUUUAGUGGGGUGUUUAAUUUGGGCUGGUUUGAUUGGGCCCGGGCAGAAAUUUGGUCCUACACUUACUACAUCAUUAUUCAUAAAUAUCUUCAUCCACAUCAUGUCAAGCACAUUGACGUUGUGUACUAGUACUAAUGAUAUUUUCAUCUAAGUUUUGUUCUGGAAAAGGUAAUGUUUCUUACCUUUCGACGAUGUCAUCUCUACUUCCAUUACCCAUGUCAAAUAAGUCUCUAGGGGUGUUCCGGAGUACAACAUACCAACCCCCAUCAAUUGGAUCUUUCGAAUAAAAACCUUGUUUCACUUGAAAAGAAAAUACAUAUAGCUCGUCCAUCAAUUGUUGUCCAGUGUGAAUCAAGCGAGAGAAAUUAACCAUUGUAAAACCAAAUUGAUCUUUUUUAAUUCUGCGAGCAGUAUUAACAUCAGCCCAAUCACACCGAAAUAAGACAACUUUCCAUCUGCCAUAAUAAUCAAAUUCAAUAAUCUUGGUAAGAAGUCCGUAAUACUCCACAUUACCCUCAACCGGAUUACUAUCCCUAGCACUAGCAUAACUUGUAAUUGAAGAAUUAACAACAAUUCCACAAUUUUGAGUUCUCCUCAUUCUCUCGUGAUAUUUUGUAUGAAAUCUGUAUCCAUUGAUGAGGAAGGCACUAUAUUUUUUUAUUACUCUGUUAGGACCUUAGGAAAGCCAUUUAAUUUCGUCAUUGACAUCCCUCCCACUCCAAACCAAUUGAGUCGAAAGUAAAUUAUUAACUUUCGCGAUUAUAUGUAACUUAUUAACUUUAGUUACAUACCGUUUGGCUUAACCAGUCAUGAAAAGAUUCUGUGAAUAACUUAUUAAUCUCUCGAUGUUGUAAUCUUCGAGAGCAUGUGACACCCCUAAUUUGACCCUAGUCGAAAAGUAGUUUCGGGACCACAAAAUCGAGUCAUAAAAAUAAUUAGCCGUCAUAUUUUAUGCCUAUUAUAUGUGAAUACGAUUGUGUGAAAGUUUUAAGCUCUGAUUUAGUAAAUUGCAUGUAAAUUUAGUCAAUAGGACUUAUGUGUGACACUUUUGAAAUGUGAUAGGUCAAAACAUAAGGAUCUAUUAGUGCAUGAAAUAAAAAGGGUGGACUUGCAUGUCAAUUUCCCCCCCCCCCCUAAUUAGUAGUGGCCGGCCAUGAGCAUGAGAGUGGACAAAAUGUUAUGGGGUGAAACAUGUUGGAAACAUGUUGUGUUAGUGUGUUAUGGGAGAAAGAAUAUAAUAAAAGUUAAUGAAAUAAAUGAAAAAACAUGUUUGAGGUGAAAAUAACAAGGCCAUUUUCUUCUUCUUCUUGCCGUGAGUUGAGAAAGAAAAUAGAAACCUUUGAGCUUAGGGCAUUCGGCAAAAGAAUGCUUCAAAUAAGGUAAGGUUCAUGUUAUUUUCUUUGAAAAGUUGUGAAUUUUGGUUGGUUUUGAAGCUUGCAACAAGACCCAUGUGAAAAUUUUUGUGUUCAUGAAGCAUGUAGCAAUCGGUCAUGAGCUUAAUGGGGUAUAUUUUGUAUGUUUGAUGAUUUUGGGAGGAUAAUUGAUUCUAGUUGAGUAUGAAGAAACUAAAUGUGCUUGAUGGCUCAAAUGAGCUUGGAAAGUUGGCCAAUGUUGUUUAAGUUCAUGAAUUAGGGCAUAAUUUCAUUCGGCCAUGGAAAUUGAGCAUGGAAAAAAAAAUCUAGUGUGGGAUAUAUGAAGCUGAAAAUUUAGUUUGAAGUGUGGUAAUUGUGUUAAAGAUGAACAUUAAACCUUAAAGCAUGAUUUAGUUUAACCAAGGGAGAACUUGUAUAUUUGUAGGAGGGCAUGUUUGAACGUGUAUUGAUAAUUGAUUUUGAAGGUUUGGCUUUAUGCCUUGAUAGUUGGUUUGAAGUAUAUGAUGCCUUGGUAUAAAUAUAUGUGCAUUCGGUUACCUUCAUAACAUGCAUUUAAAGUGUCCUUUGGAUGCAAUUGCUUAUGCACUUGAGGGGAUAUGAGUUAAUUUUCUUUAUGGCAAAUUUGGAUAAGAAGCUAACUAAUAGUAUGCUAAGGUAGUCAUGUGGAUAAUCGGCUUUGUGAAUAUUAUCAAAGGUGUAAUUAGUUAUAUGCAUAGGUCAUCGGAAAAAUUGACCACAUAACUAGUAUAUGUAUAUAAGGCGACAUGGUGAUACCUAGGUAAAUGUAUUUGGGAUGGUUUUUAUGAAAUACCGAAUGUGUGCAGAUGUAUCGAGGUGUUGCCUUAUGUAUGAGUUUCAUUGAGAAGAUUUACCUUGUUGUUUUUAAUGAUAUAACAAGGUGAUUAAAAUAGUUUAAAUUUUGUUAAUUAAGCUCAAGAGCAUAGAGGGGCAAUUUUGGAUAAAGAGAAAGUAAACGAAUAGCCGUGGAUAUCUAGUCGUCGACCACUUCCGAGGUAAGUUUUAAGUGAUUAAACGUUGAGUAAAUUCAAUCAUAAUAGGACAUAAUGAGUUGAUUUAAUAAGAUAUGAUGUGGCCAUGAUAUGUCUUAAACUCAAAUGGUAAGUUCAUAUGUGUUUGGACUUGGAAAGUUAAGAGCAAAUUGUAAUAAUUUGCUUUGGACAGCAGCAGUAACGUGAUUUUAGAAAAUCACUAUAAAUUGUUGUGUGGAAUUAUAGGCUGAAUAAAAUAUGUAAUCAAGUCUUAAUUAGUCUAGUUUCUUAUAAAAGAGACCUUGUGAGCAAACAAAUUUCCUAUAAAGAGAUAUUUAAAGUUGUGUGAGACGGUGUCAGAAUGACUCCGAAAUCCCCUGUUCUGUUUUUAGAAAAUCAUUAUAAAUUGUACAAAAAUGAUUAUAAGAUAAAAUUUACAUGCUUAGACUCCUUAAUGAGUCUAGUUUCAAAUGAAAUCAAAUACAACACAUUUUGAAUUCUGUAAAAUGAGAAAUUUGAUUCGUAGUGAAGAGUGGUCAGAUUAGUCAAACAGUGAAACAGGGGAAACUUUAAGAAAAAUCUGGUAUUGAUUGGCCAAACCUAAAAUUCUGAAAAUUUUAUGGAUGGAAGAUAUACGAGUCUAUAUUCAGGGAAAAUUAACGACAAGUGAUUUGGAGUUUUGUAGAUCCAGUUAUAAAUAAUUUAGUGACUACUGCUCAGGAAAACAGCUCGUAGUGAAUAUGUGAUUUUGUUGUAAACAUGGAUAAAACUUGUUUUAGUUACUCAUAAGCUAUUGAUUAAACCCAUACGUGAAUUCUAAGUUGUGAUAUUGUAAAAUGAUACAUGAGUGUUAGAUGGAUCUUUGAUAUUAAAAUUUGUGAAAUUGUAAGUUUAUGAGUAUUCGAAUAUGAAAUGAUAGUAUGGCGUGAAAUUGAAUUAUUCAUUGGGAAAUGAUUAAUUUAGAUUCGGCCAGGACAAAGUGUAUACAUGAUAGUAUAUGUGAUAUGUGAAGUAUAUUUGGAUAAUUGUGAUGUGAAUGUAUAUAUAUGUGAUAAGGCCUAAUGGCCGAUGUGAUGAAUGUGAAAGUGUAUAUAUAUGUGAUAAGGCCUAAUAGCCAAUGUGAUGAAUGUGAAAGGGUAUAUAUGUGAUAAGGCCGAAUGGCCGAUGUGAUGAAUGUGAAAGUGUAUAUAUAUGUGAUAAGGCCUAAUGGCCGAUGUGAUGAAUGUGAAAGUGUAUAUAUGUGAUAAGGCCUAAUAGCCAAUGUGAUGAAUGUGAAAGUGUCUAUAUGUGAUGAGGCCUAAUGGCCGAUGUGAUGAAUGUGAAAGUGUAUAUAUGUGACAGGGCUGAGUGGCCAAUGUGAUGGAUGUGAAAGUGUAUAAAUGUGAUAAGUCCCGAAGGGCAAUUGUGUCAGUACUAUAUCCGGGUUAAAACCCCGCAGGCUUUAUGCGAGAGUAUUAUCCUGAUUAAUGUCCGUAGGCUUCGUGCUCGUACUAUAUCCGAGCUUUAAAGACCCGACGGCUAAAUGCUAGGAUUCAAGUAAGACUUUGAUAUUGAGUAUCUGCAUUAAGUUACCAUCAAAUAAGUAUUAUGUAUUCAAGAUGUUCAGGUACGUAUUACUUACUCAUCGGUGGAGUGAUUUCGAGGUGAAUUAUCAGUAUCAAAGAGGUAGGUAAAUGUGAUUAAUAUUAUAACUCCAAAUGUGAGAAUGUGCUUUGGAAAUAUUUGACCAUCUAGGUCAUUAUUAUUCGAAAGUAUAUAUGUGGCAGCCAAGUGUUGCGUUUAAUGAUAUUAUAGAUCGAAAUGAAGCUCUAGAUUAACUUCAUCGAACAGUUGAAAUGAAUGACCAAUAAUAGUGAUUGAGAACACUUUGUCUUGCUUAAAACUUACUAAGCAUUAAAUGCUUACUCCGUUCUUUGAAUCUCUGUUUUAUAGAUUUUGGUUCGUCAGCUAUCGGACUCGGGAUUAUUGAAGUCGAAGUCGCCCACACUAUCAAAGCCCUUUUGGUACACUUUUGGUUGAACUCUGAAAAUGGCAUGUAUAGGACUACCCUUUUUGUAGUGGGUCAUGGACCCUUUGGAUUUGUAUAAUUUUGGAUAGCCAUGCGAAAAUGGCUUAUAUAUGUUUGAGCAUAAUGUUAUAAUCAUUUGGUAUGAAUAUGGUUAUUGAGAGGUGUGGAUAUGCUUAACAAGGAUUGGCCAUGGGAAUGGUUAAUCACUAUCAUAAUUUGUGCUAUUUAUGCUAAAAGGGCUAGUUGAAUCAUGGAAACUAUGAAAUAGGUAAAGUCUACCUUAAAGGCAGAUGCUGACAGCAGCAGUGAUGUAGAUUUGGAAAAUCACUAAAAAUAGUAGAAAUAUAAUUAAAUAGUGAAUAAAUUAUUUAAAUGAACCUUGAUGAAUCCACUUUCAUAUGGAAGAAACGAAACGGUCAUAUGAGUGGUAUGUUAAGAGAUAAUUAGGUUUUCGUGAGACAGGGCCAGAACGGUUUCUGGAUUCCCUGUUCCGACUUUGGAAAUUAAUUAUAAAUUAACCAGAGAUAAUUAGGAGUCAUUCCAUAUAUGUAUAGAUUCCUCUCUGAGUCUAGUUUCUAUAGAAACAAACGGAAUCAGUAUUGAAGCUUUGUACAGGGAGAUAUCGGAAUUGUAAUGCAUGAAGGUCAGUGUAGUCGCACCCUGUAACAGGGGCGACUUUAACUAAUAAACUGUACUAAUUGGCCCAACCAAAAAUUCUAGAAAAAAAUAUGUAGAUGGACAUAGGAGUCUAAUUUCAGGGAAAAAUCACGAAACUGAUUUUCGAGUUGUGAAACUCAAGAUAUGAUUUUUAAGGUGACAGCGACACAGUUAGCCAGCUGUCUGGAAAAAUUUAAAAUGGACUGCGAUAGUAAGCGAAUUUAGUCUGUGAACCCCUCGUGUCCGACUCCGGCAACGGUCUCGGGUACGGGGUGUUACAGAGGAUGCACGAGAUUUCAAAAUUUGUUUGUACUCACUAUGUUAAAAACAAGUUUAAUUGGUUAAAAGAUAAACAAAUCAAAACGACGAAUAUGUGAGGAAAUUUUAGGAUUUACUUGCGUAACGGUUCAACUGAAUCGUGGUGAAAAAGUACAUAUCGAUGUGCUUGUAUCCACAAUAUAUCAUCUAAUUCUUCAAUUUCAACUUUUUCGAUUGAUUCUCCAUAACUUUGGAAUAAAUAAGUUUCGCCCAAGUUAUGAUCAUUGAGCCCACCAUUUCUAUUUGGUCUAUUCAAUCGUGUUUCAACAUCUUCUAAAUAUCUAGAACAGAAGGUCAUACACUCCUCUGCCAAGUAGCCUUCAGCAAUUGAUCCUUCUGGAUAACGCUUAUUGCGACAAUAAGAUUUCAAUUUGCUUAGGAACCUAAACAUGAUAUACAAUAUUUAUCAAAAGUUGUAACUAAAUGUAUAGAGGCGAAUGAAUAAAUACUUGAAAAAUAAAUUAGCACCUUUCUAUAGGAUACAUCCAUCGAUAAAAAAUCGGUCCACCAAGUAUUGCUUCGUGAGGGAGAGGGAUUACCAAGUGCACCAUAAUAGUGAAGAAGGAAGGCGGAAAGAUCUUCUCCAAAUUGCAUAAAGUCAAAGCAGCUCGAUCCUGUACUUUCUUAAGUUCUUCACCAUCCAAAAAUUUGCCAAAAAUAGCUUUCAUUAUAUUGGAUAGUUCAAUUAUACAGGACGUCACAUUUUUUGACAUACAGCACCGUAAAGUAACUGGGAGUAAAUCUUUCAUCAAGAUGUGGUAAUCAUGUGAUUUUAAUGAAUAUAAUCUUCGAUCUUUAAGACUCACACAUCGAGAUAUAUUUGAUGCAUAUGCAUCUGAGACCUUUAUAUCCUUCAACACCAUGCAAAACACCUCUUUCUCUUUCUUUGACAUAGAAGGCGGAAACCGAUAUUUCCCAUUCAGAAGUACUUGAAGAUGAAAAUCACGCCGAAUUCUCAUGUAAACUAAAUCAAGUCGACUCUGAAGAUUGUCUUUUGAUUUUCCAUCGACAUUUAAAAUUGUCCCAAUUAUGUUCUCGCAGACAUUCUUCUCAAUAUGCAUGACAUCAAGAUUGUGGCGUAAAAUGUUUUUCUCCCAAUAAGGCAACUCAAAAAAAAUACUCCUUUUUUUUCCACAAGUCCGCCUCAUUAGGAUAAUCCUCUUCGUCAGAUUCAUCAUCAGAUUCAUCCCUCGAUCUUCUCUUUGUUUGCGUGAUAGGUGGUUGAUUCAGCUUCCCGUAACUAAAGUUGAUAUCUUUUAACAUAAACAAGAUUUCAGAUCCAACGGUCUACUCGGGAGCUCCUCUGUACUCUUCUGUACCGUCAAAUAGAGUCCUCUAAAAUCUAAAUUUAUGAUUUCCAUCUAACCACCGACGAUGGCCCAUGUAAGAGAACUUCUUCCCAUUAUACAACCACUUCGAACAAGUUUGCGCAGCACAACAAUGAUAGGCAUAACGUCCUUUAGUACUCCAACCCGAUAAAUUAGCAUAAGCCAGGAAAUCAUUAAUUGUCCACAAUAAAGCUGCACGUAAAUUAAAGUUCUCCUUUCUUAAUACAUCAUAUGUCUCAACACCCGACCAUAACUAUUUUAACUCUUCAAUAAGUGGCUGCAAAUAGAUGUCAAUAUCAUUUCUGGGACCUUUCUCUCCAGGGAUAAUCAUUAAUAAAAUAAAUGAAGAUUGCUUCAUGCAAAUCCAUGGAGGCAAAUUGUAAGGAACAAGCACUACAGGCCAAGUACUGUACGAAGUACUCAUGAUUUUAAAAGGAUUAAAGCCAUCAGUUGCUAGCCCAAGCCUCACAUUACGAGGAUCACUUGCAAAGCUUGGAAAUUUACUAUCAAACGAUUUCCAAGCUAAAGAAUCAGCAAGAUGCCUUAAUAAUCCAUCAUCGGUUUGUUGAUCAUUAUGCCUCCUCAUAGAAUUGGCCGUCUUUGACGACAUGAAAAGCCUUUGAAGUCUUGGUAUUAGGGGAGAAUAUCGCAUAACCUUGACUGGCUUCUCUCUUAACUGUGCCCCACCUUCAUCCCCAUCUACAUCUUCUGUAUUCCCAUUCAUCCAACGAGACUUACCGCAAACAUGACAAGACUGUUGGUUCUUCUGAUCACCCCAGUACAACAUGCAGUCAUUUGGGCAACUAUGAAUUUUAUCGUACCCAAGGCCCAAAUCUUUUAUUAGUCUCUUCAUAUCUUGACAAGACUGGGGGAUUUUUGCAAAUGGAAACAUCUCUCUUAGAAACUCUAGCAGCAUUGUAAAAGAGUUUCCGGUCUACCCUCCCAAACACUUUAAGUGAAAUAGACGAAUGCAGAAGGACAAUUUUGAAUAUUUUGAUCCCUCGUAAAGUUCUUCGUUCAUUUCAUUAGGUAAAUUGUAGAAUUUCGCCACUUCUUCAUUUGGCUCCUCAUCAGGUGCACUUGUUCCCAUUUCGCAAAAAACAUUUCCACCAAUAUUACAAUAGUCGGAUACAAUAAAGUCAGGUGGAAACGAUUGCUCACCAUGACUGUGCAUAUUAAAUGCAUCCCGCAACAUACCUUCCAUGUCAUCUUGUCUAACAUACUAGUGGUAAUCAGUAUCAGGAUAAGUCGGAUUAAUCGUUGAAGAAGUUCCACUAGAUGUACACUCUCCAUGGAAAAUCCAUUUUUAUACCCCUGAAUAAAGCCAUCAACAAUUAAAUGUUCGUAGACAACUUCACGUAAAUUCCAAUUGACGUUGCCACACUUCUUACACGGGAAAAGAAUCAUAUUCUCUUGGUUUGCAUUUUGAAAUGCAAAAUUUAGAAAAGUUUGUACUCCAUUUCGAUAGGCGUUGCUUACCCUUGACAAUUUCAUCCAACUCCUAUCCAUUUCGUAGUUCUUGAAUUCUAAAGUUGACAAUAAAUUACAUAGGUAAGUUGUUUAUUUAUAACUCUAAUUAAGUUAUGUAAGUUAUGAUAUGAUAUAUAUUUAUGUAUUAUGUAAGUUAUGUAAAUUAUGUAAGUUCUGUAAGUUAUGUGAGUUAUGUAAGUUAUGUAAAUAUAAGUUAUGUAAGUUAUGUGAGUUAUGUAAGUUAUGUAAGUUAUGUAAGUUAUAUAAGUUAUGUAAGUUAUGUGAGUUAUGUAAGUAAGUUAUGUGAGUUAUGUACGUUAUGAAGUUAUAUAAGUUAUGUAAGUUAUGUGAGUUUAUGGGAGUUAUGUAAGUUAUGUAAGUUAUGUAAGUUAUAUCAGUUAUGUAAGUUCAAGUAUAUAUUUUACGUUACUAGUGAUAUGUAUUCAGUAUAUACAUUUUUAGAAUCUAUGAAUUUUGCCACAUUAAUAAUUUAUAACUAUAAAUUUCUCUCUAUAUUAAAAUGAUACUAAAUAUUUUAAUUAUUUUUAGCAUUCCCAUUUUCUUAGAUUUAAUAUGUUCUUAUAUAUUAAACUGACAAUACAUUUAUUACUUCAGCAUUUCAUUUUUAUUUACCUCAGAAAAAAAAAUAAAAAUAAUUUUGACGAUGUGGAAAAUCACAUGGAAAAAAAAUUUAUUUUAAUUAAAUAAUAUUUAUAAAAGUGAUAUUAAUUUAAUAAUAUUUAAUAAAUUAAUCCAAAUUAUAUUAUUAAUUAAUCCAAAUUAUAUUAAUUAAAUAAUAUUUACAUAAAUUAAUCCAAAUUAUAUUAAUUAAAUAAUAAUUAAAUAAAUUAAUCCAAAUUAUAUUAAUUAAAAUAAGAUUGAACAUUGUUUUAAUAUAGACAUGUGUUUUGCGUUUAUUUGACAAAUCACAUGUGCAGUUAAAAUAUAGAUGUACAAUAGUCCACACUUAAUUUAAUUUCUGUUUUACAAGUCAUCUUUUCUUAAGUACAUGUUAAAGCAUUGUGUGAACAUCCGUAUUUAGUUUAAAAGCUAUGAUUUAUUUUGAAUAAAAAGUUUUAACUUAAAUGAUAAAACGGACGAUAAUAUUUGUGAUAAAAUGGACGAGCAUAUUUCAAUAAUAAUUUAAAUUUAAUUAUAAAAAAUAUAUAAAAUAUUUUAUUAAAUAUUUGUAUCGGAGAUGGGACAUAUUAUACUAAUAAUUUAAUUUAUUAAAAAUCGUGAUAGAAAUAUAGAAAUAUUUAAUCACAAAUUACAAAAAUAGGGUAGAAAAAAUUCACAUGGCAAAUACAUGGCAGAUUUCAAUAGAGAGACAUCAAAUAAAGAUUUAACAAAUUAAAUAUACAUACCUCUUAGAAAUUGUAAAUUGGAUGGUAUAGUCAAUUCCAGCAAAUUAAAUUACACCUGCAAACAAUGAACAACCAUGAAAUUAAAAAAUAAUCCGAGGAUAAACAAGAUUGUAAUUUAGUACAAGAGAUGUUGAAUGAAGUUGAUGUUGUGGUUAACCUUGCUUCAACAACCAACUUUGCCAAAAGGUAAUAUAUAUAUAUUGUCUUUCAGUAAAUCAGAUGAUAGUUAAUGUUUGCCACUCUAACUAUGCCUUUGAAUAUAUGUUGUCAGUAUAUUAAAUAUUAGAAAUUUAUUUUUUAAUUAUACUUUAAAUUAUAUUUGAUGUUUUUAUUCUUAUUUUUUCUUGUAGAUAUGAUGUGGCACUUGGUCUCAAUACAUUUGGAGCUAAAUUUGUUGCAAAUUUCUCCAAGAAAUGUGUGAAACUAAAAGUUUUGGAUCAUGUAUCCAUAGGUUAGCGAAAAACAAUGGUUUUUUUUGGUAAAAGUGUAUAAUAGUCCCUAUAUUAUACUUCAAGUUGCAUUUUGAUCCUUUUAUUGAAGAAAAAACAUUUAAUUCACUUAAUUUUAACGAAAGACUUAUUUGAUCUAAUAUAUAGGGAUCAGUUUGUUAAUUUUUUUUCAAAAUGUAAUCCUAGAUAUAAUAUAGGGACUGCGGGUAAUUUUACCUUUUUUCAAUAAAAUAUGAAUGUUAUUUAAAUUUUUUUAUUAUAUAACGGGGUGUACAUUUUUAUGCAAUUGAUAAAUGAAUUUAAUGUUGUGGUAUUUGUUUACAGCUUAUGUGUCAAGAGAAAAGACAGGGCUUAUACUUGAAAAUUCAUACAGCAUGGGAGAAACCCUUAAUGGUGUUUCGGGCUUAGACAUUAAUUUUGAGAAAAAAAUUAUUGAAUAAAAAUUGAAUGAACUGAGAUUGCUAGGCGCUUCAGCCAAGGAUAUUUAGCAAAAAUUAAAAGGUUGCAAAUUGAGCAAAAAUUCACUUAGCUCAUGGAAUACAUGGCAGAUUUCAAUGGAGAGACAUCAAAUAAAGAUUUAACAAAUUAAAUAUACAUACCUCUUAGAAAUUGUAAAUUGGAUGGUAGAGUCAAUUCCAGCAAAUUAAAUUACACCUGCAAACAAUGAAUAGCCAUGAAAUUAAAAAAUAAUCCUAGGAUAAACAAGAAUAGUAAUUUGAGUUUUUACAUUAAAAAAAUGUACAAUAACAAACUUGAAAAUUUAUAGACUAAAAUGGAAAUUCAAAAACCCUUUGAAAUUAGACUAACACGGGUUUACUAAAUACGGGUGUUACUAUCUGCGUGGUAUAUUAUACAUAUAUUCAUAUUAUAUGUAUUUGCUUAAUAUGGUAACUUAUAUACAUAUAUUCACAAGCAGCUGGAAGAAAAACUAGAAGAAAAUAGGGAUGGGUUCCUUACUUUAUCACAGAAGACUCGUACAAGCCACGAAAUAAUUCCCAUUUAUUAGCAAAUUCAGCAGUGAUAGGCAUCAGCCUUGGCAGCCCACCUGAAGUCCUAAAGUUGCAUUUGAUCAAAAAGAUAAUAGAGCAAUUAGAAGGAAGCAACCAAUACCCCAAAACACACAGAAGAAAAGCAACACAUUCAUUCAUGCCUUAGAUAGAACCCUGUAACGGGUUCAGCUAAAAGGAUAUCUGAUGUCUCCCCAUUCUCAAUCCUAUCUAUGUAAUGCUUGAGAUCUUUAUAAGUAACUAUAGGAACAUUUUUCUUAAAUAGCUGUUUCUCGGUUUGACCAUGGAGGAAUCCCUUUAAAUACUCUGUUCCUGCAUAUCAACUUUGUAUUUCCCUGAAUACCUUGUCUUGAAUUUGCUCAGCAUUUGUGGUCAGUUCCUCAAUUGUAUUCAACCCACCUUCAUACCCAUUCAUUGCCAUCAACCCUAUUAUUGAGAUCCAAACAUCUUUUUGGGGAUAUUCUAGCUAUUGGCAAUGGAAUCUCUACCUACGCUAAAUACAAUAAGAUUCACGGGACUAGAGCCACACAUGUCAACACUCAUAAUAAACAAUGUGGCAUCAAUGGAAUGAUUAAAACAUGAAUUAGUAAUAUAUUAAAUAUAUAAACAAUGUGGUAUCAAUAGGCGAACAGUAACUGUUGUAUAUGAACAACAUGAACACAAUACCUAUAGUAUAGGACUCGAAAUUCCAGCUACAGCGGCGUAGAGAAGAGGCAGACGCAGACGUAGAUGCAGACGCAGUUAGGGAAAAUGAGAGAAAAGAAAUUGGGUAAAUGGGGAAAUGAGAUCAGGUUUAAGUUGGGGAAGACGAAGACAUAGUUAGGGUGCAAAAUCAAAUUUUUUGAUUUGCGGUUAUGGGAAAAUUACUGAUAGCUGAGCAAAUCAAAGGGACUUCGGGGAAAAUGAUUUGAGGAUAUCUCUUUGGGGGAAAUUAUAGGGGAUUUCUAAAAUUAGGGUUUGGAAGUAAUGGGAAAUUUUAAGGAUUUCUGAAACAGAUGAAGUAAAGGAAGUAAUCAGGGUAAACUGAACUGGGGAAAGUAAAGGGAAAUUGGGGUUCCAAAAAAUGACGACGUUUUCAAUCUAUUCAAAAAUAUUUGUGGCAUCUUUAUAAAGCGUCUCUAAUUAGAAAGGCUACAAACGACGCAGUUUUUGCAAUCUUUUAAUAGAUUUUUGUGGCGUUUCUAGCGAAAACGCUUGUAUUUCACAUAUUUUGUGGUGUUUAUAAAAGCGCCACUAAUAAAAGGCUAUAAAACGAUGACGUUUUGAAAUCUCUUUAGAUGUUUUGUGGUGUUUUUCUAAGAAGUGCCACUAAUAACUUGGUACUAACGACGCCGUUUUACAAUCUAUUAAUAGAUGUUUGUGGCGUUUUCUAGUGAAAACGUCAGUAAAUCACACCUUUUGCGGCGUUUAUAGAAGCGCCACUAAUAAGAGGGAUGUAAACGACACCGUUUUACAUUCUCUUAAUAGAUGUUUUGUGACGUUUUUUAGAAGCGCCACUAAUAACAUAGCUUCAAAACGACAUAGUUUAAAAUAUUAAUACAUGUUUGCGGCGUUUGUUUUCUAAAACGCCACUAAGUAUGCAAUAUAAAUCCUUUUUUUUCUCUUUUAUUAUUAUUAUUAUUAUUAUUAUUAUUAUUUACUAUUAAUACAUGGUUAAAUUUUAAUUUGGUCUCUCUAAUAUAUUUAAAUUUUAGAUUUAUUUGCAUAUACUUUAAUUUUUAAUAUCGUUUAGUCUAUAUAUUUUUAUAAUAUUAUUAAUUAAUCUAAACAGUUAAUAUUAUUAAAUUUUUUAUUAAAACAUUACAUGGUAAUAUAAAAUUUGAAAAUUUAGAGAAUAGAGAUUGAAAUGUGGUUUCCAAUUUUUUAUAUGUUUGUGUCGUUCUUUCACAUUAAUAUAUAUAUCAAUAUAUAUCCAUAUAUAUGAAAUUUAUUCUUACAGGUUUAGGAUUUAGUAUUUAAGUGUUUGAGGGUUUACUAAGGUUUUAUGGUUUUGGAUUUAGGGUUUAUGGUUUAAGAUUUAGGGUUUAUAGUUUUAAGUUUUAUAAUUUAAGGUCUAGUGAUUUAGGUUUAUAGUUUUAUGAUUUAGGAAUCUAUAUUUAAGGGUUUAAGGGUUUAGUACUGUCUAUAGUUUAGGGUUUUAUGGUUUAGGAUUCAAUGUUUAAUAUUUAGGGUUUAAGGUUUAUAGUUUAUGAUUUACGACUAGAGAUUUAGGGUUAGAGAUUUAAAGGGUUAUUCAUUUAAGGGGUUAGGGGUUAGGGUUUAGAGAAAGUAACAUUGAUUUUAAGAGCUUCGUAACUUAAUUAAAUGAAAACUUUUAAUUAGUUUAUUUAUCAAAGUGUAACUUUUCAUAAUUAAGUAACUAAAAUGAAAUUAACUUUCCCAUAGCUAAGUGAAUGGUGUAGUUAAUUUAUAUUGUUUAUAAAGUCGCUUUUAGAUAUGAUCAAAAUAAAAUCGAAUUCAAAAUAAAAAUAAGACCUUCUUUAAUUUGUUAUAAUUUGGUCCUAUCCAAAAUAGAUAGUUACCUAUAUAUCCAUAUCAAUCUGUACUUUUUUUAUUUAUUUUUCAAUAAAUAAUUUGUUAUAAUUUUAAUAUAUUAUCUUUUUUACAAUUAUAUAAGAGAUUAUUUAAUUUCAUAUAUAAAUUAAAAAAUAUUAAUUAAUCUAAACCUUAAAUCCUUAACUACAAUCUCUGAAACCUUAAAUCAUUAAACAUAAACCAUCAAGCCUAAACCCCAACCCUUAAACUCAUAAUCCAUUAACCUUAAAAUAGUUUAGAUCUAUAGCGGCGUUUUUCAAAAAGCCCCGCUAAAACCGAAACUAUUGCAACGUUUUCUGAGGAAGCGCCGCUAAUGCCACUAAAGCUCAAAAUAAACGACGUCGUUCUGUUUAAUCUUUUAGCGGUGUUUUUAAAAAAACGCCGCUAUAGAUCGACCUAUAGCGGUGCUUUUUUAAAAAUGCCGCUAAUGUUGGAUCUAUUGCGGCGUUUUUCGGGAAGCGCCUCUAAUGCCACUAAAGCUCAGAAAAACGAUGUCGUUCUCUUUAAUCUUUUAGCGGCAUUUUUGAAAAAGCGCCGCUAUAGGUCAAUCUUUAGCGGCUCUUCCUUAAAAACGCCGCUAAUGCUUGAUCUUAGCGGCGCUUUCAUAAAAAUGCCGCCAAUACUCGAUCUAUUCGAUUUUUAAUGGCGUUUUCUAUUCAAACGCCGCUAAAACCCUAUUUUGGUGUAGUGUGUUUUCUUUUAAAAUUUCAUUUAUUAUCUAUUUUAUUUUUGUAAUGACCAUCUUAAACUCUUUUUAUACAUCAUUUACUUUAAAAUUUUAUGUAUUAUUCAUUUUAAUUUAUUUUUAGAUAUCAUUUAUUUUAAAUUUUUUUCAUAUGUGAUUUUUUUUAAAUCUUUGUGUAUAUUAUAUAUUUUAAAGGUUUAUAUGUAUUACUUGGUUUAAAUUAUUUUAUAUGUCAUUUACUUUAAAUUUCUUCACAUUGUUAUUUUUAAAACUGUUUUAUAUUUUUUAUAUAUUAUGUAUUUUAAAAUUUUUUACAUAUUAUUUAGUUUAAACUUUUAUACGUCAUUUUAAAUUGUUUUAUAAAUUAGUCAUUUUAGAUUGUUUUAUAUAUUAUUUUAUUUUAAAUUGUUUUGUAUAUUAAAUUUUUUUAAAGUUAUUAUUUACUUAAAAUUGCUUUUGUAAUAUCUAUUUUAAAUUUGUUUUUUUAUGUAUUAUUUGUUUAGAAUUAUCUAUUUUAAAUUGUUUUAUAUUAUUUAUUUCAUUUAAUUAUUGUUAAUGUUAAUACUUAAAUAAUGUAUGUGGUGUGAUUAUUGUCAUUGUGUAUCAUAUUUCGGUUAUUUGUAUUUUCAGGUCAUUGUCAUUCACUUUUAUAAUGUUGUAUUCAUAUACUUUUGCUCCAUGCUCAUUAUUAUACUUUUAUUUCAUGUCAUUGCAUCGUGAAUUAAACUCCAACGUUUUUAUUCAAUAUAGAUCGCUUCGUUUUACUCCGAACAAAAUAAUGCACAUCGUUAAAUGUCACGCUCGUUAUUACUUAAAAGGAAAAUUUCUAAAAUAAGGCAAUAUUUCGCGUUUCAGGAAUUCGAGAAAUUGUACCCUAACUUACGGGGUUUCGUCUUUCUCAUUAAACCUAAAUAGCUAAAUAUCCUUUUAGAUUUCAAAACACAAAGUUUCAAUAAAAAUUAAAGGCAGACUUGUUCCCAAAGAUUUAAACGUCGCAUCCUAACUUACGGGAUGUGACACCUUAUUAUCGCGGGACGAGUAUGCCUUUGAUGCUCGUUUCAACGUAAUUCAAGCGUUUUAAAAUUAACAUUCAUAAAAAGGACCGUAUUUUAAAUUCGUUCUCGAUUUUCAACUUUCGACAUUAAGACACUAAUUAAUCAAUUCGGUACCAAUUUUGGGCGUGACGAGGGUGCUAAUCCUUCCUCGCACGUAACCGACUCCCGAACCCGUUCUCUCGAGUUUCGUAGACCAAAAAUACCGUUUUAGUAAACUAAAAUGUUUUGUUAAAACAAAGGUGAUCCGAUCACACCUAAUAAAGAUCAGUGGCGACUCCUGUUUUAAUCUUCGCUUUCAAACAAAGUCGAUGCUCGUUUUUUCAAAAAAAUGGUUUCGACACACUGAAACUCACGUCCUCUUAAUUAUUGCAUAGCAAUAGUGCCAAUUGAACUAAAACUCAAUUGACAUUUGAGAUUUUUUUAGUCUCCGACAUUGUUAAGAAAUAUAUUAUGAGGACAUAAAAUGUCUAAAAUUGACGUCAUGUUAAAAAUGAUAUUAUCACAUUAUUUUUAAUGAUAAUUGAAUAAAUUAAUAGUAUUAAAAAUAUAUAAUAUAUUACAAAAAUAGAAUUAUUUUAUUAUAUUGACUAAAUUUUUAUUUUAAUAAUUUUGAAACUGGUAAAUAUAUCACGAGUGAAUAAAGUCUUAUAUUUAAAAUAAAAUACAAUAUGUAAAUAUUUGAUUAUUUAAUGAGUGUGAAAAGAGUUAUACACUCAAAACAACUUUCGUUGUUGCUUUAACUUUUGUUGCUAAACAACAAUUUACCGGUUAUCAAGCUUUUUAAUAUUUUGGAUAAGUAGUAAAAUAUCUAUUUAACCAAAAAUUAAAUAAACUGCUACAAUGUUACAAAGACAAACUACCAAGCAAAAAUAGUAGUGUUCAAACCCCAUGCAGUAUGAAGUGCAAAGUGUACAUGGCCAGCCUUAACUCCACAAAUUUUACACUCAAAUAGUUGAAAAUGUUAAAAUUGAUUCAAAACGUUUUUGUCUUAUUUUGACUAUCAUGAUGAUCAAGAGAAAGGAUUGUAUGAAACAGUGACGACACGUCAUCUGUAUCUUCCAAUAGUUUUAUGCCACAUCAGUAUUCUUAUCCUGAAUUUCAGUAUUUUAAUUUGGAUUUAUUUUUUUCAGGAUAAAAUCUUAAAAUUCAGGCUAAAAGUACUGAUGUAGCAUAAAAUUAUUGGAAAGGGAUACAGAUGACGUGGUAUCACUGUUUCAUACAAUUCUCUCCCGAUGAUCAAUUAUAAAGUAAAUUCUGUUUUUUAAAUGUUUGAAAUCUAUAAGCUAAGCUAUGAUUACCCCCAUUUCCUUAAUAUGCAUAUAAUAUGAUUGCAUAUAUUUAGAAAUUGCAUAUAGGUUGAGCAUUAGACUUGGAUUAGGAUAUAAGCUUACUUUUUUUAGUAUCUUACGUUUUUUAAAUGAUAAUCUUUUAAGAUUUUUACCAUGACAUGUAUUGGAAGCUAUUUGAGUUUCCACAUGAUAUUUGACUUGGACAAAUAUAUCAUGUUAUAACAUAAUUUCCACACAUCACACUCAUAUUGAUAUCUAGUAUUCCUUCAUAUAUUGUAAUAUUGUUCUCCGUUGCUAUUACCAUGGUUCGUAAUUCAUAAAAUUUUGGUAACAAACAUGGUGAUAAUAUAUGAUGUUAAGCAUGUUUACUGAAUGAGUACACUUUGAUUGUCUAUAUAUAUGUUGUUGAUUCAAUGAUGUACGCUUUAUGAUCUUUUCUUCUCGAUUAUUCUUCAAAUUUGUAUUUUUUUGUGUUUACAUUUUGUAUAUGUUUGCUUUUAAUAUCACUAAGCUACUUUUUGUAUAGAUUUUCAUAUUUAGGUAGCUUUGAUUUUUUUUAUAUUUAAUUUUUAGUAUCAUUAUGCUUAUUUUAUACUUUUUGAUAUAUCAAAACGGGGAGAAAGAUAUAAGAAACUUAAGAUGCAUAUAUCUAGUAGAGAGGUAUAUAUGCAUGUAGUAAGGGGACAAUUACUAAAAUUGCAUAUGCUCGUAUUUCUCGUAUUAUUCUAAUGCUAAGUAUGCAAUUGUUGAUUUUUGAACUCUUUCUUCUAUAUUAACUGGUAUCAUUGAGCUUAUUAACAUCAUGCUUGGAUUAGUAUCCUUGUGCAUGUUUAUCAAAUGAUAUUAUGUUGAAGUUCAUAUGUGCAUAUAUGACAAACGUUAUGAAAUUCAUUCAUGCUUCUUGCAUUGUUAAGCAAGAUUAAUUUAGUCUUCAAAUUUGUUUAGGGAUUGUCCGAGCUUGGUGACUUGAAUAUGUGUAAAUGAUUUAGGAGUAGUUUUUCAAAGCAACUCUUUCUUAAAUUUUUGUUGUAUAAAAAAAAGGAAGGCCAUUAGUUUUGAUUUAUAAAGCUUAUGAUAUAACAACAUUUAAGAACAAUUUUCUAUUUCAUCUAAUGCGUCGAGGGUCUCAGUUUCUUAUUAAGUCAGGUGGAGGCUAAGGGUGCUUUGCAUGGCAUAUCUAUUUGUUGAGGUAGCCACUCGGUUUAUCACCUCUUCUUUGUGGAUAAUAGUUUUAUCUUCUUCUGUGCGACGGCUUCAAAGUGCCAAACUGUAAAAGAUAUCUUACUGGCUUAUGAGUUUGCCUCGGGUCAAGCUGUUAAUUAUCAGAAGUCGGGGGUUAUGUACAGAUUUAACACAAAACUUUCGGAUAAGCAAGCAGCUUGGUUGAUUCUUGGGGUAACGGCUCCCGUCUAUCAUGGUAGGUAUCUGGGGCUGCCGUGUUUAGUAGGGUGAAAUAAGAAGGUUGUGCUCUCUUUUAUCCUUGAGCGUCUUAGUAAAAGACUUUACAGCUGAAAGAAUAAAUUAUUGUCUCGACCGGGCAAGGAUGUGGUUUUUAAAACAGUAGCUCAAGCACUGUUGGUGUACUGUAUGAGUGUCUUUUUACUGUCAUUGGGGGCUUGUGAGGAGUUGCAGCGCAUGAUGAAUUCGUUUUGGUGGGGAUUCAGCGGUGCUAAUAUUAAAGGUAUUAGGUGGGUCUGUUGGGACCGACUUUGUGACCCAAAGAAACUUGGGGGGGGGGGGGGGGGGAGGGGGGGCGGUUGGCUCGAUUUUCGACAUCACUGUUUCAACCUGAUAACGCUUUGCCAGCAGGGAUGGAGGUUUCUCUCUAACCACGAUUCUCUUCCUAGUAGAGUUUUCAAAGCUAGAUAUUUCCCUUAGUGUGGCUUUCUUCAGUCCAAUGAAGGUGCUAAUCCCUCAUUAAUUUGGAGGAGUAUUUUCUCUACUAAGGCAUUGCUUAAAAAGGGUGCUUGGUGGCGUUUUGGCAAUGGUACUGACAUUUGUGUUUUUGCUAAUCCUUAUCGGACCCUCUUGAUGGCUUAGAGGAUAUGCGUGUUAACGAGUUACUUACUGGUGAUGGCUUGGCAUGGGAUAAAGGUUUUAUUGAUGGCAUUCUAGCGCCAAGCGAUGUGUCCCAAAUUCCCAAGAUCCCAUUAACCUGGCAAAAGCCGAUUGAUUGUCUACUCCAGUUACUGGCGAGCAGUAUAACCCUUUACACCUAUUCUCACUCAUGCGGUUGAUGGCCCUUGGGAUCGGCCAUGGAAGCUGUCUUUGCCUCCAAAUGUUACGCUGUUUAUUUGGAAAUGCUUGAAGGGUUUCGUCCUGUGUAAAAGCCGACCACUUGAGAGAGGGUGUAAUAUGGAUCUGGGGUAUGUUCGGUGUGGUGCGCUUGAGAGCCUUAAUCAUGUGCAUAUGUGGUGCCCAAAGGCUGUUGAGGUAUGAAAGUUAGUUGGUUUCGGUAUGUCUUUCAGUACUGUUCAGGACUUUAUUGAUAACCUGUUGGAAUUGUUGGACACUGAUCGUAGGGAUCAUGGUCUGCUAGUUACAUGGUCCUUAUGGUUCCACAGGAAUAUACGUUGCUGGAUGGCGAUUGAUGUGGGGGCUACUGCGAUUGUGGCGUUUGUUGUGCAAUUCCUGCAGGACAGGAAGGACGCCGAAGCCACCUGUAUGCAAGUUCAGCAGCCUCCUGCCGUUAACUGUUUGCGACAGUCUGCUUGAGUGAAGCCGACUCAGCCAUGGGUCAAAUGUAACGUCGAUGGCUCGUUAUUUCCGGAUACGGAAUUUUUUUGGCUUUGGGAUAAUUUUGCGUGAUCAUAAUAGGAUGUGUCUGAAGGGCAUCUCUAGUUUUUUUACUACUACAUAGGAACCACAUUUGGAUGAAGUCGUUGCCAUACGGGAAGCGCUUUCCUGGCUUCGUUCUAUGGGCAUUGAUCACGAGCGACUUUAUUUUCUGCAUCUAUUGCUUUUUGGGAUAGUCAUCCUUCAACUAUUUGUUUCGUGAUAGAUCUGGAUAUCUCUAAUGAGGGUGUUUAGGUUCACGUGUAUUGGAGAAGUCUAUUGGCUUGGUUUAGUUGCCUCGGAUUUCUUUUGAGUUUUCUAUUUCCCUCAUUUUAUUUUAUUAAUGAAGGCUUAAAUUUUUUUCUUAAAAACUAAUUUUCUAUUUUAUUCCUGAAAUAAUUUAUGUUAGAAAAUAAAUCAAAUAUUUUAGAAAAUGCUUUCAAGCAAGGACAUUGAUUUCAAUAAUAUCUUAUGUCCUUCAACUACUCAAAUUCCUUUGAAGUGUUUUGGAGUCUUUUAGUAUAAUAAAUAUUGAUACCCCACCGUUAGUAUCUAUACAGUGGGUAGUCAAAUACCUAUCCUUGAAGUAUCAAUAUAUCAAUAUUUGACCCAAAAGUAUCAAUAUUUGGCUUCAUUAUAUUAAUACCCUCUUUAUAUGUAUUGGUACAAUAGGUUACAAGGUAACUUUAAUGCUCAAAUUAAUUACUCUAAAUGGCUAAUUUUAUCCUACAAUUGCCCUUAAAAGUAUAGGAAUAUAAAAGAUGUCAUAGAGUAAGUGGGGGAGCCGAGAUAUUAAUCUUGUGGGGCCAAGUUAAAAUUAAAAGUGCUAUAUAACAGUCGAUUUAAGCAUAUAAACAAUUUAUUCAAAAGAAGCAAUAUUCCAACAUGACAAUCGAUUUAAACAUAUAAAAAAAUAUAUUCAAAAGAAGCAAUAUUGCAAAAAUUAAAACGAAAUAACUAUCAUUUGACUCGAUUAACCAUUUUUUAUUCCGUUUUUAUAGGAAUGCUUAUUGUUUCACAAGCUAUCAUUUGACAUAAUUUUAAACAAAGUGACCAAGGUUUUCUUCCUCCCCUUCACUUUGGCCGAAACUUACUAUAACAUCAUCUAACUAUUUUUGUUUCAUUUUUACACUUCUAACAAGUUAGAAACCAUCUCCUAAUCAUUUUUCAUCCAAAAACAUACACAUUUCACUUAAUUUUAUAAGCUUCCAAGUUCCAUUAAUAUCUUUUAAUGGAAAAUUUUAAUAUACUUGAUAAAACAAAAAACUAUUGGUAUAUAUAUGUAAAACAAGUUUCAAAUAUUCAAAAUCUAUGAAAAGUUUGAAGAAAAACAUAUCUUAGACUUCAAAUUUGGAGGAAAAAUGAUAAAUAACUUUUUUCUUCUUCUUUUCUUGCUAAGCACCAAUAUGAAGAAGAAAGAUGAUAAAAGUCUCUUCAUCUUUUCUUUUCUUUAUAUAUAUUAUUAUAUUUCUUAUAAACUAUUAUUAUGUUAAGUAAGCUAUUAAAUAAACAUCAAUUUAUUAUUUAACAAAAAUAUCAUUCAAAAGUCAUUAUGGGUAAUUUAGCUUCUUCAAAAAGAUUUUCUCUUUGUUUUUAUCAAGAAUAGUUUUUUAAUAUUAUUUUUAAUCCUAUCAAAUUAUUGGAAAGGUCUACUUAUAUUUUUAGGAGGUCUAUAAUAUAUAUACAAAAGGAAAAAUUGCAAAAAUCUUAAACUUUAGGGGGCCUACUUAUAUUUUUAGGAGAGCCAUGGUGUAAAUUUAUAAAUGACUAAAUUGAAAAAAACUUAAACUUGAGGGGUCGAUGGCCCUUGGGCCUCAAUGUGGCUCCGCUACUGCAUAGAGUUCAAGAACUCUCCAAUGAAGAUAAGAGAACAAGUUUCAAAAUUCAUGAGCUCAUAAUUCAAAAUUCUUUCUUUUAUUCUUCUCAUACUCAUAACUUACACAAUUAAUCCUUUAUAUAAUAACAUUUAACUAUAAAGGCCAAUUUUUCUGUAAAAUCCAUUUUUAUUAUUUUUACCCUAUAUUAUAGCUUUUCAUCUAUGAUGAGGACAACAACUAUAAAGUAUUAAAUUCAAUCUUUAUUAAAUUACUUUUCUAUAACAACCAUAGUAUUUUAUUAAAUGAAAAUAAUAUUUAACAAAUGAAAUUACAUUGGUAAGAUAUAAUAUAAAUCUCACUAAUUAUUAAUAAUAAUAAUUUUUAAUUUUUAAUUUUCAAAUUAAAAAAAUUUAAAUAUGAUUUAAACCUCAUAUGUUGUUAUUAGUGUAUAAUAACUACCUCUUUAUAACAUUUAAAAUUUUGACAGACAAAUAGAGCUAUUAUAGAUAGUGUUGGUUGUACCUAAACACUUAUUGAGCUUAGUUUCAUUUCUUUAUUCAAGUGUUUAUUUUAAUUUGUUAGAGCUUACACUUUGUAAACACUUACCUCUAAGAGGUUUCCUUGUUUACACAAUUUCGUCAAUUUGUAAAUUGGGAAGAUUUCUAGUUGAACAUUGAAAAGUUAGAGAGGUUUUAGUUGAUCCUUGAGCAUUAGAGGAGAAUGUUUUAAUUUAACCUUAGUAAAAGAUAACGAGUUGCAAAGAUUAUACAUUAGCCUUAAAAAUCUUUAUUAAUUGGGGUUUAGGUAGUGGAGAUAAAAAAAUAAUAUUGGAUCACUAUAGACCAUUGUAUGGAUUUAUUUUUAGUAUUUUUAGCCUUCAUUUGCUAAACUUUUAAAUAUCAUUUCAUUUGAUUUUUUUUUAGCCUAACAUAAACCUUCGGAGAUUUAAAGGAGAAACCAAUGUUUUAGUCACCUUGAUGAAGCUAAUAAGACUAGAUCCUUAAGUUUUUUUACAAUGGAAGCUUUCCUUAUCUCUGAAUAGGGCUUGAAACUCCUUAGCAAAAAUGGUUUACUUGGUAGCUAAGUUCUUGUCUAAAGGUCUUGUAACACACAAUUACUAUUAUUGACCCAUAAUUUGAGAAAGGUAGGAUUAAAUUGAAAAAAUUAGUAAAUUAUCGAAUUAGGACAUUUGAAAUUUUUAAUGGCUGAAUUGUGAUUAGUUGGAUUCCAAUUCCAAUUUAGUUACAUUAGAAUUAACUGGUUUUGUAGUAGGAGACAACAUGAUUAAGAAUGGAUGGUUGGGAGGGCCAUUGAGGAUCGUGCCUAGGGAAUAUAUAUAGGUGUGAGUAGAGAUAGAAUUUUCUCAAUUUUAUUUAUGAUUUUUUUCCUCUCCAUAGCACCAUCUUCUUCAACCGUUCUGAAGAGAAAGAGGAUGCAGUUGAAGGAAACUCUGCACGUCGUUGCAGUCGCAUGAGUUGAAGUUUAUUAGUAGAGAAAUUGAAGAACUACUAUCAGGACAAAUGAGGCUCUGGCAUCCGGACAUGCUAAGUUGACAAGGAUAAGGAAAGGAGGUGAGUUCCUACAUUUUGCCUUCUGGCUGAUAAAUGUUGUUGUGUGAAUUUGCUAGCUAUUUAUUGAUCAUUUAAGAAUAGAUAGCAGUUGAAUGGUCAUAUGGCAUGACGCAUGCAUAGAGAUAAUUUGUGUGGUAUGCAUGAUUAUUGUGUAACACCUUAUACUCGUAACUCACGCCGGGGCGAAGUACAAGGCAGUACUUAACUCGGUUUCACGCAUACAACCAAUCUCAAGUCACCGAGACUCGGUCCAAAUUAAAACUUUUUUAGUUUCUACUUUAAACUACUUAUUAUGGGCCUACGAGCCCAAAAUCUAUCAUUGAAAACUAUUCGGAACCAUUCCGGGUCCUCAACCCAACCUUAAGAAGUUUGCUUUUGAAACAGGGUACACGCCCGUGUAGAAGGGUAACACGCAUGUGUGGCUAUUUCGACAUGACCGUGCUGACAGCCCGUGUGGCUCACACGGCCUGAGCACUCAGGGACAUGCCCGUGUCUCGCACCCGUGUAGAAUUAAUUUCUAAUCCACACCUACAAGGGUUUCCACACGACCAGACACACACCCGUGUCAACAGCCCGUGUCCCUCACACGGCCACGACAUGCCCGUGUCCUAGCCCUUGUGCAAAAACCUGGACAUUCUCUUUCUGACGUCAGCAUCCCCCAAAAUGUCACACGGCCGUGGCACACGCCUGUGUACUAGGCCAUGGUACAUGCCCGUGUACCAGGCCGUGUCCUCUACACGGCUAAGACACACGGUCGUGUCUCUGCUCGUGUGUUUAAUACCAUGCACACUGACUUGAAAUUUAUACGUGUAGGGGACACAAGGCCAGACCACAUGCCCAUGGGGCCGAUCGUGUGUCACACACGGCUUAGACACACACCCAAGUGUCUAUCUGUGUGGACAUUAUAAGGCUAUUUACCAAGCCUCAUUGCCACCCUUGCAUACCUAUUUUCAUAUCAAUUCCAAAACAAGCAUAAUUUCCAAAAUCAAAUCAGCCACAAUAGACAUUCAUUCAACCAUGAAGAAGUAUCUUUUAUAAACUCAAAAUAAAUGUUAGCUAUCAUUCAAGGCUUAAUACCAAGCCAACACUUUUGGCCAAUUCUCAAAGACACAAAAUAAUAAGGUCUAGCCCUAUACAUGCCAUAUUCAAAAAUAUAAAUCCAACUAUACCGAAUGCUUCGACUGAUAGUGUGAUUGAUAUCUCUGACUUCUGGUGAUCCUUAAGUUAAUUAGGUGGCACUGUAAGGAAAUGGAAAGAAAAAGGGAGUAAGUAUAAAAGCUUAGUAAGUUGCAUAUAAAUAAAUAAACAACAACAAAUUCAUCAAUAAUCGUCAUGCUCAUAACACAAAAAUAGGCACAAGCAUAACUUACUCUCUACCCUCCAUACAAAUCACAUAAUAUAUAUUGAGCUCAUUCCUCAUACGUACUAAUAAGGGACCUGUAUCACUCACAACACGGUUAUACUUCCCUUAUUAACUCACAAUCAUAACUUUCACCGUUGCUCCAUUCGGAACACCACCGGAUAUUGCAUAAGCCUCAAACAUGGGGUAAGGUGCUGAUGCCAUGUCCCAGACAUGGUCUUACACUAGCUCUCGCAUAUCCGUGCCGAUGCCAUGUCCCAGACAUGGUCUUACACUGACACAUCUCGUAGCCAAUGCAUGUCCCAGACAUGUCUUACACUGGCUUACAUCUCGAGGCCGAUGCAUGUCCCAGAUAUGUCUUACACUAGCUCACAUAAUGUGGCCGAUGCAUGUCCCAGACAUGUCCUUCAUUAGCUCACACAAAUGGCCCUAAUGUUACGGUAUGAAUAUCCAGUUUAUUUCGUAUGUUCAACGGGAACCCUACUAUCUCUAUUAUUAAUAUACUUUCUCAAUUCCACAAUCAAACAAUUCAUGCUGUAUUAAUUCAAAUACAAUUCAACACAUACAUUAUUAAUGUCGUUAUAUUAUUUACAUACAACUUACCUCAGAUUACAAAAUACACACGACUAGUCAGUUUAGUCGAUUUGCUUGGCUUUCCCCCGAUCUAGGAGGAUUUGGAAAUUCUUGAUCUAUAUUAGCAAAAUACACUCAUUUAGUCACUAAAUAAAAUUAGGCAAUCCAAAAUUUACGUCUUAGGUAAAAUGACCAUUUGCCCCUAGACCUUGAUAAAAUGACCAUUUUGCCCCUAUAUUCGAAAAAUGAUUUUUACAAAAUUUCAUCAUAUUUCAAGCCUAGACAAACUCUUUUUACUCUUAUACCAACCCCAAAUUCUCAGUAUUUCACAUACUUAUCACCUAUUUUGCAACUUAUGCAAAAUAGUCCCUUUAGGUGUUUUCAUGCUAACACCUUUCACAAAAGUUGUUUAUGACACAACUAGGACUCAUAUUCUUCCAUAGAAACUCAACAACUAUCACAAAUGCAUUCAUGGAAAAACCCUAGACUCUUGUUUAUUAUGCACAACAAUCAUCUCAUUUGAAAGCUUAUGCUUCAAGGAGUCCAAAAAUGUAAAAAUCAUUAAGAGAAACUAUCAAAAUCACGUACUUGAGAGGGCUUAAAGUUGCUGAAAUUUUUCUGAAGCUUUCAAACCCCAACAAUGGCCGAUUUUAGGUCAAAGAGGAGAAAAAUAGAUGAAGAAGGUUAAUAUUAGGCUUUAGGGUAUUAUUAAAAUACAUAUUAUGACAUCAACCAACCUAACCCUUUGACCAAUUACCUAUUCUUGUCUCAUGGCCGGCCAAGCUCUUCUAAUAGGGUCUAAUUGCCCUUCAAAAUCCCCCAAUUUUGAUUCUCAAACAAAAUAACACCUUUAGCUAUCAAUUUAGGAUUUUUACACUUUAUGUGAUUUAGUCCUUUUUCAUAAUUGGGCUCACAAACGUCAAAAUUAACUUACCAAAUUUUUCAUGCACUAAUAUGUUCAUGCCAGAACAUCAUAAUAAUAAUAAAAUAAUCUUUUUAACUUCAAAUUUGUGGUCCUAAGACCACUAUUCUAACUAGGCCCUAAAUCGGGAUAUUACAUAUUGUAUGUAUGAUAUGGUACGGUAUAGAAGAGAAACUAUCAAUGAGUUAGAUGAAUAUAAGAUUGGGAAAAGGUAAUUGUACGGUGUUGCUAAGUGCACUUGUGAUGAGCAAAGAUCUGAGCCUUGCGGAGGGGACACCACGAUGUUCAAGCAUCAAGGUUAGGACGGCGAACAGUGGAAUGGACAAAGGGAAGGGAGAAUAAAAAAUGGAAUUCCUUUAAGAUACAGCCAUUCGGGAUUGUUGGGAGUAAACCGUGAUGUGCAAAGCUCCGGCCGUUGAAGGUGGGACACUUAGGUGUUCAAGCAUCAAGGUAGUUACAAGAUGAAUCGAUGUCGAUAGUUAUAAGGUUCCAUAAAGCAACAUUGUGACAGCGGUCAGCAGGCUCUAUGGGGGAACAUUGCGACGGCGGUAUGGUCCUUCGAGGUGAUACCUCAUAGAGGUUUAAGGUGUAAGACCAUAGCUUGUCUAUGGCAACCAAUAGAGCCCGUUAAGAUAGUAAAUAGGGGGUAGCCCGUCGGGACAAUAAACACGGGGUAGUUCGUCAGAAAAAUAAACACAGGAUAGUUGACCGCCUAUAAACAUCUUAUUGUUUAUAGUAAAAAUAUCACACCAAAAAUCUAUUAAAUUAAAUCGAUGGUCUCUGCAAGCGUAUAGGUCAAAUUGUAAUAUAGUAUUGUGUUACAAUAGAACACUAGUAAGUAUUCCAAAGAUUGUACCCAAGGGAUUGCAGAUUGGAGAAAUUAAUGUUAAAUUAAUUACAAAAAAUAAUUACUAAUCUAAUUGAGUCACAAAUUAGUAAUGGGAAUCCAAAUUAAUAUUUCAAUUAAACUAAUUAAAUUAAAUUAACCUAAUGGACUUUCCUAUUCCUAGUAUCAACAAUGUGAGCCUCUAGCAUAUGAUCGAUUAAAUCCCUAAUUAAUAAAUAGAAGAUUAACUAAUUCCAAAAUUUGAGUUUUAAUGUGAAUUAGUAUUUAAUUAACUAGUAUUACCUCCUGACCUUUACUAAUUAAUUAAUCGGCGGAUACUCACUUAUCUUCUAACCUCACUUUCUUCAUCAGGAUAAACUACGAUUUACUCGGCUCAACUUGUCUCCCAACCUCAUCUAACCUAUGAUAACUUAUUAGGGUUUUCAAACCUAAAAGUUUAAGAACAUAUAAUUUAUACCAACUAAUCUAUUAUAAACUUUUAUUCUUUUGUUAAUUAAUCGAGUUGAUGAAUUAAUCAGUUCAAUAAAAAAAUCAUGUAAUAUAUGAAUAAAUAUUGGAUCUAGAGCAAUCUGUACUUGCGAUUGUCUUCACGUUGGAAUAGAAAAGUUUCGACUACACGAACAUUAAAAGAAAAAAAAACUAAAACUAAAUAAAAAAACUAUCUGUCUAGGUCUGCUUACAAUUUCGGUGACCCUAAGGCGUCUAUAUUUAGGCUACAAGCUCCUUGGUGACCCCUUAACCUAGAUACACUUUGGGAUUCUAAUAAAUAAAACAUUAUGAUAAAGCUAGGGUUCAAAUAAGGAAAUUUCCAAAAAUUUUCUUGCAAAUAAGUCAGCUUCAUUUUGGCCUACCAUCGUCCCCACGCCAAGGAAGAGCUCGUCGGGACAUCGCCUCAUCAAGACAUGGAAGGUCCUCACAUUGGGAUGUCACAGGUUACUUCAACUUGGUAUGUUUCUCGGUAUCGUGUCACACCACAGGAUGCUUGUAUCCAUUACGACCUUCAUUCCUUGGAUUCACGGGCCUGAAAUGACUUCCUGCAUAUUUAAUUAACCUAUUAGAACUUCUCGAGACCGGAGUAGGUCGUACGAGUCAUCGUAGUAGUAGAAAAUGCGUAAAAACAUUUAUUUUUUUAAGUUGUAGUUCCUAACCUACUAAUAUUGGAAAUGCAAUAAUUAUAUAUAAAAUGCCAAGAAAACAAGUUUGUUAAGUGUAGAAAUGACCUAAAAAUACUAGUACAAGUGAAGUAAUGUCACUUACCCCAUAGUUAAGUCUUUGCUUAUCCAAAAGCAAACUAAAAAAAAUUAAAACAGACACUAAAAUUGAAAACAAAAAAUAAACAUGCAAUAAAUGUACUUAAGCUAGCUUGGUACAUGAGAUUAGAUCGGAUCAUCAACACUAGGAAUAUUUGUCUAAAUAUAUCUAGCUAGAAAUUUAAAUAAUUCAAAGUUAUUUAUACCUAAAUAGAUUAGUUCAAUAAAUUACAAAGUAAACAAGUUAAAGAAAAUUAAAUAUAUGUCUCCAUCAAAAUGUAUAUACGAAUAUAGUAUUUAUUUUUAUAUGGUAUAAUUAGUUUAAUUUUUUUUCAUACUCAAUUUAUUUUUAUUCAUGCUUUGAACUCUAAUGCAGUAAUAUUUCUCCGAUAAUCUCUUAUGAUUUUUUUUUAUUUUUUUCUUUUCUUCUUAUUUUUAUUUUUAUUUGUGCCAAUAUGAUAUAUGUUUUUCUCGAGUACCUUUAAUAAGGGUUAUACUAGUCAUAUUGCAUCGUUUCAAUAACCAUGGAUUCUACAGAGUAUUUUCUUUUUAAUUCAAACAUCCUAUACUUUUACAAAUUUAAUUACUUAUUUGUAUCUACCUUUAUCUCUUGGUAUGUAACACCCCAUAAUAUUAUUUCUGCUUUUGUGAAAAUGUGACACAAUUGAGUAUUUGCUUCAGUAGUUAAGUGUUUUGGGUGUGUGAGAGGUCCCAAGUUCAAGCCCUAGCUUUGGAAAAUUUUGUUAUUUUUGGAAUUAAGCCUUACCUCUGCUCAGUGGGCUUAUAUUAAACCGUACUAGGUGUGUACUCGAAAUGCAGAAAUUGAGGUUUGGGCAAAAGUUGAAAAUGGCCACUGUCGACACUACACGGGUGUGUGGUUGCCCGUGUGGUAGGCCGUGCAUAAGACACAGCCGUGUGAUGGCCAGGGUGUGGCUAUGUGGGCCACACAGGCUUCGCCAAAUUGGAUGUGUAGGCCACACGGGCGUGUGAUAUCUAGGCCAGGCCGUAUGAUCCACACGAUCAAGGCUAAUAUGGGCGUGUUGGCUACACGGGCUUGUGUGCCUAUACGGUCAAGCCACAUGGGCAUGUGGGCUUAUUUGUCAAAAUUUUUCCCUAAGGUUGCAUGGGUCGUCCCAACCUACUGUGGUCCUACUGUAGUGUCGGUAUGGGCUAACUAAACCCUAAACUGUGUGAUCUGGUUUAUUGAUGUUCUAUACUGAGCAUGUUAACACUGUAUAUGUCUGAUUACUAAUUCGUAUGACUGUCUGAUAUUUGUUAAUAAAAGCAUGUUAAGCAUGAUUAUCUGUUAAUUCUGUAUGUAUGAUCUGUUACUGCUAUUGGGGGUAGGAUGAAAUAUAUGUUUUGGAGGAAGUGUUCUGAAAGGCAGAUUAUGCCUAUUAUCUGGCAGCAUGGCUGCACUAUAUUUGAUAUGUGCAUCGGUACAACAUGGUGUGUAGGGCUAGGUGGUUGUUUUAAACCUCACAUGGUGUGCAAGGAUGGUCGGAGAUGGUGUGUAGAGGAUGGGGGUAGGAUAUCUAAUUUCUGAUUCUGAUCUGUAUAUCUGCACCUGUAUCUUAGAUGAGCUUAGUCCCGAAUCUGCAUCUGACUAAUUUUGAGUUUGUUGUUUAUGUGCAUGCUUAAUUCUAUAGGGUUACACACUCAGUUUACAUAAACUCACCCAUUUUUGUUUAAUCUGCAUAGGUAAUCCACAAAGUUAGGCGGAUCAGUGCAGCGGAGCCUCUCAGUGACCAUAUGUUCGAACUGGUUAUGAUUACAAUUUAAUUUUUAUGUUCUGGUUUAAUCUGGGUUUUAUUUUAUGUAAUUCAGAUUUUAUGGACUGUUUGUUUUAAUUCGGGAUAGACUAAAAUUCUAUGAUUUUAAAAUUACUAAAUGUGUUAUAACCUGAUUUUUACCAAAACCAAAGGUUUUACAGAUAUUGAACCAUUUUCUAAACACGAACAAUUUUACUCAAAAUAGGCUUCCGCUAAAAUGAUAUGUUUUAAGACAAGUGAACUAAUUGAAACAUGAUUUGAAUUUAACGAAAGUAAGAAAGGGUUAUGAGUUUUGAGGUUUUUAUCAAGUUAGACGUUUCCAAAAUCCCUUCCAUGUGGCAUCUCCAGAUUCGGCCAUAACGUCUAGGCCGGGUUUGGGGUGUUACAUGGUAUAUUUAAUCACUUAUUCCUAUUUAUAGUUUAAUAAAAUUAACUAAUUAGUCUAAAUAUAAACAACCUAAAUUAUUUAAUUUCAGGCUAAAUUUAAAAAUUAACAAACAAUCUAGGUAUAUGCUCUUAACCAAUCAUUUGUAUUUCUACAAGCUCAAGCACGCAUAUAACACACAGAAUUUAAAAAAAGUAUAAAAGACUAUAAACAAAACAAAACAACUGAAAAUUUUAAAAAUUUAAAAAUUUUCCUAUGUCACCCCCAUACUUUAUUUGGUACAUUGUCCCUAAUGUGCUAUACAAAAAUGAAAGAAAGAGGUUACCCGAUUAGCAUGAUAUGUGCAAUGCAAUUGGUGGGACUAGUUCUCCUUUUGGUUUUGGCUCGAGAUUGUAGUAUCGUAAAAAAAAUAUGGGGUUCCUAAAAAGAAAAGCUAAACAUAUAAUAUAUAUAAAAUAAAAUCCUAAUUAAACCAAAUAAAUAAAAAUCACUCAAAAAUCUAAAUAGGUCUUAAAGAUAUAAAUCCAAAAUAAAAAUAAAAAUGUUUUAGAAUUAGUCAAAAUCAAGUUCCAACUCCUCAAUCAUUGGUACUUUGCCCCUCUCAUACUCGUCGACACUUUAGUAACCCGCCUUCCCGAAGUGUGGACUAGGCUAUGAUGGCUUGGAUCGUGAAUCACCAUGCCCUUCGUCACUGAGCAGUCUAGUCAAAAUGCUUGCUCAUAAUCAGGUGUCACGACCAGGGUUUCAUCCUCAUCCUCGUCAUCAUCAUCUUCCUUCGUUGUCCACCUCGUUCAGCAGUGAAAGUCUCUCGAGCAUAUUUGGGAGUAUCUUUUCCUGGCUGAUUCAAUUAUGUCUCUCUUUUCUCUCAUCAAAUAUGCUAGAAACACAAAAUUAUAUAGACUUUUCAGCACCUUUUAAGCCCUAAAUCAUGCAGUUUCGUAGUAAUUUCUGUUGAAAUUCAUACUUUAAUUAUAAAAUAAUUAAUUUGCACUAAAAUUCAUAACAUAUUGAAUUCUAACUAUCUUUAUGAUAAACUUACAAAAAAUUGAUUUAUUUUUGAUUGUCUUGUACAAAUGGUGAAAAUCGACUCGGCAAUCACCUCAAGAGGCUUGAACUGUUGGGGCAAUUCUUGCACCAAAUGAAUCAAGAGCAUGACUAAUUAAUUUUCCAGCCAUGGAUGGUCCAAAAAUAUUUAUUGAACAAACUUUAAAUUUAAUUUUGAUCCAACAUUAAUUGGGUUAAAAAUUAAUUAUAAGUCUAAAGAAGAGAAAGUGGCCCAGUUGUGCUAAGUGAAGAGAACUAAUCUAGCAAGGAUUGGGUAGCCCAAAACCGUCCUUGUAGCUAACCCAAUCAAUUUAUUUAGCUAAUUUUAUUAAUUUAAAAACAACCCUCAAAGUUUCCCUUAAUUUCAUUCAAAACCCUCUUCUUUCCAUGCCUUCUAUUUUUAACCCCAAGCUAAAAAUAACAAGUUUUGAAACAAUCAACCCUUGCUCAAAGCAUGGCCGGCCAAUAGAGAGGAAGGGGAUGAUAAUUAUUUGCUAUUUUUAGCAACUAUUCCCACCUAUAAAUACCCUUAUUCCCUUCCUCUUUUCACACACCAUUCAUUCCCACACCUCUCUCUUUCAAUCACCUUUUCUCUUCCAUUCCCUUCUUUGUUUUCCCACUUUUCUUGUUUCAUUCCCUUUCCGGUUUCCCUGUAACAGCCCGAUUUAUACCCUAAUCAGAACGGUAGUUUGUGAUCAUGAAUCUCAGUUAGAAAAAUAUUUAAAAAUUAUUUUCUGUGUUUAUUUUGUGUGAAUUUAUAUUUGUGAAAUUUUCGUGAUUUAAUUUUAUCGUUUAGGUGUCCGAUGAAAUAAAAGGACUUAAUCGCGAAAAAUAAAAUUAAGUGGUAACUUGUAUAAGGGCCGAAUUACUAAUGGUUUUCUAAUUUGGAGUCUUUACGAUGAAAUUAUUCCAUUAACAUGAUGUUGGACGGUAAUGGACAUAUGCUAUAUAAUAUUAUUAUUAUUUCAUUACGGGUAGUUAAGUAAAAUAGUAAUAAGUUAAUAUAUAUGUUAAUAUAUCAUAAAAAGAUAAGCUAUAAUCACAUUAUUUUUAUUUUUUAUUGCACUGAUUAUAAACCAAAAUAAAAAGAAAGAACAAGAGCUAGGUUCGGCCAAAUUUCACAUCUCGAUUCAAGGUUCGUUCUUAGUCGAUUUUUGAUAAUUUUUACAUUUUUUAGAUCGUUUCUUCGAGUACUACAAAACCCAAGUUUUAAUUUUUGAUUUUGAUGAAUAUUUUUAAAUUGUGCCAUUGUUGAUAGUUUAUGAUUUUUGUUGUUUGAUAAUGAAAAAUGAAAGAUAUGUUUUAGAUUAACAUGUUUUGUAUUGGAGUUUUUGAUGAUUUUGAAUAAUUAGGACUAAAUUGAAAAAAUAAUAAGUUGAGGACUAAAAUGUGAAAUUAAUAAAAUAUAUGGGCUUGUAUAGGUAUGGGUACCGUUCGGCCUAAUAUGAGUGCUUUGAAAUUUUGUGUAUUUUGUGUUUUGUGCAAUAGGGACUAAAUUGUAAAAAUUGUAAAUGUUAGGGUAAAAUGGGAAUUUGCCUAUUUAUGUGUUUUUGGACUAAAUUGAAUGAAAAUUUGUUUGAAUAAUCUUAAUUUGAAUAGUUUUAGAUCAAGAACCAAAGAAAUCGGAUUUGGACCGGGGAAAAACGAAAGUUGUCGACUAGCAGCCCCGUCCCGUUUUACGACGUCCGAGGUAAGUUUAUAAGCAAAUAAAUGUCGUAAAUUUUAAAUCUAUGAGAAUUUAUAAUGCUGAUUUGAAUUUUAUGAGUUUGUAUAAAUAAUAGCCGAAUGUGAAAAUGGUUGGGAAUUAUGUUUACAAAUACGAUUCGACCGAGAUACGACGUCCGAAAGCCCCGUAUGAACCUUAGGAAUAGCUAGGAUACAUAUGUCAUGACAUAGGAUUUUGAUAUAUGUGUGUGAGUAAGACCAUGGCAUCGAUUUGUGAUUUCGAUAUGUGUUGACGAGUAAGACCCUGUCUGGCAUCGAUAUGUGGCUACAUGUAAGACCACGUCUGGGACGUUGGCAUUGUAUGAUUUAUGUGAUUAUCAGAGUGUCCUAUCCUAUUCCGAAUGGUUCAUCGGGCAAAGGUAAAUCGUGUACAGAUUGUGUAAUACGAGCUCAAUGGGCAGGUAUGAAUUAACUUGAUAUCUACUUGAGAUAAGGUAAGAAAGUAAUAUGGAUAUGUGUUGUAAAUCAUGUACAAUGCAAAAGAAGAAUUCAUAUGUAUUUGGUAUGUGUAUUCGCCUUGUGAAUGAAUAAUUUCUAUAACAUUGAAAUGUCACUUAAUAUGGGUUUAUAUGAUUUGUAUAUUUGGCCACUUAGGUAUUAUUAUACAUGAUAUGUCAUUUGAUGAUUCUUAAGUUGCAUAAAAGAGUGUACGGAUGUGUGGUUUAUUAUGACUAUUUGGUUUGGAAGUUGAUUUAUAGUGUGUUAAAUGAUUAUAUAUAUAUUCGGCUUAGGUGGAUAAUAGUCCAUGAAAAAUGUAUUAUUUAUAGAAUUUGUAAGUUUGAGGUCAAGCAGGGAAAUGUUAAUGCAUUUCGUUUAGUUAAUAUGUCAAUUGUGAUAUUGAGUUGUUUAUUUGCUUAUGACUUACUAAGCUGUGGUAGCUUACUCUGUGUAUUAUGUUACUUUGUUUUAUAGAUUUUGAAGUCAAGCUACAAGCUCGGGGACUGUCAGCCAAGCUCAUCACACUAUCUACUAUUUUGGUACCUUUAAGCUAAACUUAAAUUAUGGCAUGUAUAGGCUGGUUUUGGGGUUAGUUAUCUUGGAAAUGAAUGUAUAUAUUAGCCAUGCGAAAAUUGCAUAACUAUCUUGCUUUGAAUCGGUUAUGUUUGCUUAUGGUUUCAGUUUAUUUUAGCUAAGGUAUUUUAUGCUAUAAAUGAAUGUUAUUUGUGAUAUGUGCUUGGUUGUGUAUUAAAGUUGAUUAAUGACUUGGAUGUGGUAUGAACAUAUUGACCAUAACAUAUAUACCUAGGUAUAUUCAAAGGUUUUGAAUAUGAUUCCUGUUAAGUUAAAGUAUAUGAUCAUUCAGUUGGUGUGCUUUAAUAAGGUAUAAAUAUGUAGUUUAACAUUAAAGAUCAAAUAGUCAUACUCGAAUAUGAGAUAAAUAUGCUUUGAUAUGUUAUUACUUUGUAUGUAAGAUUCAUGUUUUGAGUAGGUAUAAAUGAGAUGGUUAUGACCAACUGUAUAUGUUUAUAUAGCUAUAUAAAUGCAUAAUAAAUUGACUUGACUUGUGGUUUAGCACUUGUCCUUAUUAAUAUUCUAGUAUAAUGUGAUUUUGAAAUAGUCAUGUACGUGAUCCUAGGAUAUAUAUAUGUAUUAUGGUCUUAAAUUUGUAAUUUGGUAAAGAUAAAAGAUGAUUAUAUUUUGAGCUGAAAAGUGUGUGGCCUAGUUAGCUUUGUGGAUGCUAUAUAUAUGUGUACAUUUUGUUUAAUCUAAGCCCACGGUUGUAAAGGUAACUGUGUUAACUGAAUAGAGGAAAGGUGAAUAUGAUUUUGUAUAGGUCUUUAAGGGUACAUUAUUUUAACAUUUUGGUUGACUUACUUGAGUAGAUUAAUUGUUGAGCUAGAGGUUUUAUAAAUAUAUAUAUACUCAUGAAUUAUAAAUAUUGUAAAUUGGCAAACAAAUACUAAUAUGCAAUAUUUUAUUAUAUGAAAUGAAAUGACGUAUAUUUGGUUGCAUAAGGUAUGCGCAUAACAUUUGCAUGGAUAUAUAAUAUUUUACAUUAGCAUUGUUCAAAAGUCAUAUAAGUUAAGAUAUACAUUUUUGAUAAGUUAAUGAAUUGAAAUAUAUACUUGAUUAGAAGUUUAUUGUCUAAUGUUCAUAUGUUCUUGUUGGCAUUAUUGUAUAUAAAAUUCAGGAAUCAUUUGUAAUAUUGAAUUGAAGUAUGAUAAAUUUUGUUUUUACCAAUUUUUAUUAGAUAACGAAUAAUGGAAUUUGAUCUGAAUUAUAUUUUGAUCGGUAAUACCUUGUAACCCUAUUCCGAUGACGGAUGUGGGUUAGGGGUGUUACAUUUUAUGAGUAUCAGAGCUACGAUUUAGUCGGUUCUAGGACUAACGUAGCGUGUGUGAGUUUAGCUAUACAUGCCAUAAUUAUAUACUGUGAUAGUGUGAUGACUUCUGAUAUUUGAAAUGUGUUUUCAUAUAGUAAAUGAAUUCUGACAGAGCUGUAGCUGAUGAUGUCGAGAGUGUAGCGCCUGCUCCCGCGCAAGGGACAGCACCGGUUGAUUCUCGACUGAUUCCGAGUAAUCAAGAAAUUGAGGUUAAACAAGACUUCUAUCAAAUGAUGAAUGACUAGUUUACUCAAUAUAUUCAGACUAAUCUGACUGGACAACAACCUCCACCCCUGAUUGAUCCAUCUUUGAUGCCUACGGUACCUCAAGUAAGUGAUCCAUUGAGAUUGUAUAAGGCACCUGUUGAUAAAAUCAGAAAACAUGAGGCUAAAGAGUUUAAAUCUACGGAUGAUGAUGAUGUUGAGCGGGCUGAGUUCUGGCUUGAUAAUACUAUCUGUGUGUUUGAUGAGCUGUCUUGUAGCCCAGAUGAAUGUUUAAAGUGUGCCAUAUCUUUACUUCGAGACACAGCAUAUCACUGGAGAAAUACCCUAGUAUCACUGGUUUAGAGAGAGUGGGUGACCUGGGAAUUCUUUUAGACUGAGUUUCGUAAGAAAUAUAUUAGCCAAAGAUUUAUUGAUUAGAAGUGUAAAGAAUUUCUGGAGCUGAAACAGGGUAGGAUGACUGUAACAGAGUAUGAGCGAAAAUUCGUGAGACUCAGUCGAUAUGCCCGAGAGUGUGUUUCUACCGAAGCCAUAAUGUGUAAAAGAUUUGAAGAUGGACUGAAUGAAGACAUUAAAUUGUUAGUUGGCAUACUUCAGAUAAAAGAGUUUUUGGUACUUGUUGAGUGAACCUGCAAAGCUGGGGAGCUCGAGAAAGAGAAAAAGAAAGUUGAUUUUGAAGUAAGAGACUCGCAUAAGAGAUCAUUCAACAAGUCAGUCCAGUCAGCACCAAAGAAGUUUUGAGAUGAUUUCAGUCGUUCAAAAGCCACUUCGGGUUAUUCUCGAUGAGACCAGAAUAGACCACCAGUGAGUUUGAGAGCUACCUUAGUAGCCAGUAUGAGUAAUGUCAGAUCAAAUCAGCCCGAGGAUAAACACUGUGGUAAAUGACAUCCUGGUAGUUGCAGAUUACAUGAUCGGGCCUGUUUUAAAUGUGGAUCGACAUAUCAUUAUAUUCAAGAUUGCCUAAGGUUAGCUGACGAAAACCCAGUACAGAACACGAGAUCGAGUAAUACUGCGGCUCGAGGUAGACCACCGAGAAAUGCGGGUAAUGCGAGUGGCAGUCAAAGAGGAAAUAAAGACAUAGCAGUCAAAUUAGAGGCUCGUGCACCUGCCAGAGCCUAUGCCUUUCGUGAGCGAGAGGAGGCUUCAUCCCCAGAUGCUAUUACUGGUACAUUCAAUCUUUAUGAUACUAAUGUAAUUGCAUUGAUUGUUCCUGGUUCUACUCAUUCUUAUGUGUGUGGGACAUUAAUAUUCAGCAAGACUCUACCUAUUGAGUCUACUGAGUUUGUGAUUAGAGUGUCAAACCCCUUGGGUCGGUGUGUUAUGGUUGACAAAGUGUGUAAGAAUUGUCCCUUGAUAGUUCGAGAUCUGUGCUUUCUAGCUGAUUUGAUGUUACCACCAUUUGAUGAGUUCGACAUAAUUCUAGGUAUGGACUGGUUGACAUUAUAUGAUGCUGUUGUGAACUGUAAGAGAAAGACCAUUGAUCUACGAAGUCAGAAUGAUGAGAUUGUUCGGAUUGAAUCUAGUGAUUUGAAGGGGUUACUAGUAGUGAUUUCUUCGAUGUUAGCUCAGAAAUAUGUGAGAAAAGGCUGCGAGGCUUACUUUGCAUAUGUGCUUGAUAGUAAAGUGGCCGAAAGGAACAUUGAAUCAGUACCUGUUGUAUGUGAGUAUCUAGAUGUGUUUCCUGAAGAAUUACCAGGUUUGCCACCGAUACAGGAGGUAGAGUUUUGUAUUGAGUUAAUGCCUGGAACGAAUCCGAUAUCCAUAGCUCCGUACAGAAUGGCACCAAUAGAAUUAAAAGAACUAAAAGAUCAGUUGCAAGAAUUGACAGAUCGAGCUUUCGCACAACCGAGUUUCUCUCCGUGAGGUGCACCUGUGUUGUUUGUGAAAAAGAAAGAUGGAACUAUGAGAAUGUGCAUCGACUAUAAACAGCUCAAUAAGGUGACUAUAAAGAAUAAGUAUUUGUUUCCACGGAUUGAUGAUUUGUUUGACCAGCAGAAAGGAGCUACAGUAUUUUCAAAGAUAGAUUUGAAAUCGGACUACUAUCAGUUGCGAGUUAAAGACUCCGAUGUACCAAAGACUACUUUUAGAACGAGGAAUGGACACUAUGAGUUUCUGGUUAUGCCAUUCGGACUCACUAAUGCACCUGCUUUUUUCAUGGAUUUGAUAAAUCAGAUCUUCAAACCAUAUUUGAAUCGGUUAGUGGUUGUGUUUAGAGAUGAUAUUUUGAUCUACUCUCGUGAUGAAGCUGAACAUGCUAAACAUUUGAGACUUGUAUUACAAACUUUACGAGAUAAUAAGUUGUAUGCAAAAUUCAAUAAACGUGAGUUCUGGUUAAAUGAAGUCAGUUUUGUGGGUCAUGUGGUAUCAGCAUUGGGUAUUCGGGUUGAUUCAAGCAAAAUUUCAGCUAUACUUGAUUGGAAACCUCCGAGGAAUGUUUCUGAAGUCUGAAUUUUCUUAGGACUUGCUGGUUAUUAUAGACAGUUCGUGAAAGGUUUCUCUAUGGUUACAGCUCUGAUGACGAAGCUAUUGCAGAAGGAUGUCAAAUUCGAGUGGUCAGAAAAAUGCCAGAAAAGCUUUGAUCAGUUGAAAGCCCUUUUGACUGAAGCUCCAGUGCUAGUUCAGCCAGAAUCGGGUAAAGAAUUUGUUAUUUAUAGUGAUGUAUAUUUAAAUGGUUUGGGCUGUGUUUUGAUGCAGGAAGGAAAAGUUAUAGCUUAUGCCUCGAGAUAGUUGAAGACACAUGAAAAGAACUAUCGGACACAUGACGUAGAAUUUGCAGCCAUUGUGUUCACACUAAAAAUUUGGCGUCACUAUUUGUUCGGUGAGAAAUGUCAUGUUUAUUCUGAUCAUAAAAGCUUGAAAUACUCGAUGACUCAGGAAGACCUAAAUUUAAGACAACAUCGAUGGUUAGAAUUGCUAAAAGACUAUGAGCUUGUGAUUGAUUAUCACCAAGGAAAGGAUAAUGUUGUUGCUGAUGCUUUAAGUAAAAAAUCACUGUUUACUUUACGUGCAAUAAACGCGCAUAUAGCUAUGUCUGAUGAUGGUUUGAUAGUAGCUAAAUUGAAAGGAAUACCAUUAUUUAUUCAACAAAUUUGUGAUGCCCAGAAGGUUGAUAAUGAUUUGAUCACAAAACAAGCUCAAUGUGGGAUAGAUGCUGAUUCAGAAUUCAGAGUUGAUGCUGAUGACUGUUUAAGAUUUAGAAACUGAAUAUGUGUUCCGAGGAAUUUAGAGUUGAUUCAGAUGAUUUUGAUUAAAGCUCAUAGCAGUCGGUUAUUGGUUCACCAAGGUAGUACAAAGAUGUAUAAUGAUCUGAAACAGCUUUAUUGGUGGCAUGGUAUGAAAUGAGACAUUUUUGACUUUGUUGUAAGAUGUUUAGUCUGUCAACAAGUAAAAGCUGAACAUCAGGUGCCUUCAAGAUUACUAUAGCCUAUCAUGAUACUUGAGUGGAAGUGGGAUAGAGUCACGAUGGAUUUUGUAUCUGGUUUUCCAUUGACAACGAGCAAGAAGGAUGCAAUUUGGGUUGUUGUGGAUAGAUUGACUAAAUCAACUCAUUUUGUUCCGAUACGUAUGAACUACUCGCUAGAUAAGCUGGCUGAAUUUUAUGUUUCUUAGAUUGUGGGAUUACAUGGUGUGCCUAUAUCUAUUAUUUCAGAUAUAGAUCCAAGGUUUACAACGCAAUUUUGGAAGAAACUGCAAGAUGCACUCGGUACAAAAUUAUAUUUCAGUACUGGCAGUCUGAGCGAAUUAUUCAUAUACUUGAGGAUAUGUUGAGAUGUUGCAUUCUCGAGUUUGAAGGUACAUAGGAAUGAUACCUACCUCUGAUUGAAUUUGUAUAUAAUAACAGCUACUAGUCAAGUAUCAAAAUGCCACCUUAUGAUUCUUUGUAAGUCUUAAAUGUCAUACGCCAUUGUACUAGACUACGCUCAGUGAAAAUAAGAUACACGGGGUUGACUUGAUCAGAGAAACUAAACAGAAAGUGAAGGUAAUCCGUGAAAGUUUGAAAGCAGCGUCAGAUCGUCAGAAAUCUUAUGCUGACUUGAAACGUAAAGAUGUAGAGUUUCAGAUCGGAGAUAAAGUCUCACCAUGGAAGAAAAUACUCAGAUUCAAUCAUAAAGUGAUAAACCGUAAUAUAUACAUAUUUUUACCCCAUGCUUAACGCAUUUUAUGGAUGAUUUUCCCUUAGAAUUGGUGAAUUCGAUGCUCCUAAUGCUUUAAUUUCAUGUUUUAUACUUAGAAGAGCAUAGGAGAGUGAAAGGAAUGAGAAACGAGACAAAAACGGAGAAAGUGGGCCAAAGUAUGAAAUCAACACGGAUUGGACAUCCUCACACGGGCAGACCACAUGGCCGUGUCAAUUUGGUAGAUUUGAAGUACGAUUCACACGGGCGCGUCACAUGGGCGUGUCCCUACUGAGCCCAAGUUGAGUCUAAUUCGGAAAAGGCUAAUUUUGAGGGUUUUUAGGCAUUCUAAAGCCUAUAAAUACGCCUUAAAGGAAGAGAAAAAAGGAGGGCAUGGAGAGGAAGGAAGGAAUUACUCGAAGGAAGCCGAUUGAUCCAUCUCAGAAGCCGGAGUCACCAUCAAGAUUGAAGAUCUCCCCUCAAUUUCCCUUCAGGAGUUUUGGGUUUUCUUUAUAUUUUGAAUUCGUUAUUCUUCUGAGAUGUUUUCCUUUUUAGUUAUGAACUAAAUCCCCUAAAUACCUAAGGGGAAUGAAACCUAAGACGAAUCUUGUUAUUAUUUUCUAAAUUGUAUGAUAAAUAUUUAACUUAUUCUUAAUUAUGUGUUCUUAAUUCUUGUUUUGAUAUUCCGGAAUACUGAUUCAAGAUAAGCUCUUAUUUAGAGGAGGAAUAGACCUUGCCUAAGAGUACAUUUGUCAUAAUUAAGCGGAGUUGUUUGCGCGCCUAGACAUAGGGUGACAAGAUUUUGCCGGAUUAGGGUGAAACCUAAUAAGGGGAUCCAUAGAUCGAGUUAAUGCAACCCUAGGGUGUUAAUUAGAGAAAAGUCUCAAUUAUUCAAUAUAGAUAUUAGAUGUUAUUAGUUUUUAAUAGGGAUAAUAACAUAACUUAGGGAUCUCCACAGAACAAGUUAAAUGAAUAAAUCGUCCGAUUCGGAGCCAGAAUAACUAGUACAGUCUAGGUGGAAUUUUUCUUAGGUAUUGUCUUAAUUCAAUCAUUUUCCAAAAGUAAUACCCCAAUUCCAGUCUCUGUGAAUUCUUAGAUUAGUUAAUUAGUUAUUUAAAACAAAACUCCCUUAUUCUUAGGCUAGAUAAUAAAAAGACAGUCAUUACUAGUACUUUUAGUUCCUUUGGGUUCGAUAAUCUGGUCUUGCUAAAACUAUACUACUGUUCGAUAGGCACACUUGACUGCAUCGCAAUAAUAGUUAGUUUCAAGAACGAAUAAUUAUAAAUAUUUAAAACUUACCUAUCAUGAAAAUCGCGAUCAUAAAGGCAAAGUACCACACUUGAGUCACUAGUGACAUGUCACUUGUAUCCUAUUCUGUUCCUAAUGUUCAAUCGAGAAAUUUCUCAGUUUUCGAUACUUGUUAAUUUCAUUCAAUAUUCAGCCACAUUUCAUAAAAGAUAAUAAAAUGUGAUAACAUAAGUAAAAACGAUGCAUUAUUUACAUACAAACUUACCUCGGUGCAAAAUAUGACGAAUUUGCAAUUUAGUCUACAACCUUUUCUUUUCCCCGAUCAAGGUCAAUUCCUUAUCUUUCUUGAUCUAUAAUAACACAUUUAACUCAUUUAAUACUCACAUUAUUCAAUAUAGUCCAAAAGUCACACUAUGGAAAAUCUACAUUUUUGCCCCUAAAAUUUUACAUAUUUACAAUUUUUCCCCUAAGUUCGUAAGAUGAAAAGAACUUAUUUUUCUCAAAUUCUAAGCCUAGCCGAUUCAUAUUCCCUCUUAUAACAGCUCAUAUUUUUCACUAAAUCACAUUUUCUAUGCAUAAUUUUACAAAUUUUACAAAUAGGUCCUUUUAUAUAAUUUCAUCAAAAAUCACUUAGUAAAAGUUGUUUAUCACACCCCAAACUUUCAUAUUCUUCCAUAAAACAUCAAAACACAUGCAUGUCAUCCAUGGGUAAAUUUUUAAACACAAACCCUAGCUCAAAAUAAUGGUGGAAAUAGCUAAAUCGAAGUACGAGGAUCUCAAAAACGUAAAGAACAUUAAAAAUAGGGCUAAAACAGACUUACAAUCGAGCCUGGAAGCUUGAAAAACCCUAGCUGUCUUCCUCAUGUGAAAUUCGGCCAAGGGGUUGAAGAUGAGCAAAAAUUUGCUUUUAAUUUGGCUUUUUAAUUCAUUUAAUUACCAAAUUACUAAAAUGCCCUUAACUUAAAAAUAUUCUAUUUCACUUAUUUCAUAUCCAUUUUUGUCCAACAAAUUAACCAAUGGUCUAAUUACCUUUUAAGGGCAUCCAAUUUAAAAUUUCAUAACAAUUGGACACCUCUAACAUUUAGUGCUUAACUUUUGCAGUUUUUUUACAAUUUAGUCUUUUUGACUAAAUUGAGUGCCCAAACUCGAAAUUUUUGAAUGAAAUUUUCAUAAAAUCGUUCUGUGAAAUUGUAGACUAUAAAAAUAUAAUAGAAGUGAACUUUACUACGUCGGUUUUGUGGUCCCGAAACCACUGUUCUGGCUAGACCCAAAAUCAGGCUAUUACAACUCUCCCCCUUUAGGGAUUUUCAUCCCCAAAAAUCUUUUCGGUAAAUAGGUUUGGGUGCUGUUUUUUCAUGGCUUCCUCCAGUUCCCACGUAACCUCUUCUAAUCUAUGUCUUUGCCACAACACUUUGACUAAGGCUAUACUUUUAUUUCUCAACUAUUUAACUUCCCGAGCCAAAAUCUUUAUCGGUUCCUCAUCAUAGGUCAUAUCUGGCCGAAUCUCAAUCUCUGUUAGAGAAAUCACAUGUGAAGGAUCAGAAUAAUAUCGUUGUAACAUUGAUACAUGAAACACAUUAUGAAUUCUUUCUAACUCUGCCGGUAAAGCUAACCGAUACACCACUGGUCCAAUUCUUUCAAUAACCUCAUACAGCCCAAUGAAACGCGGAUUCAACUUGUCGUGUCGGCCAAAUCUUAUAAUUUUCUUCCAUGAAGAUACUUUCAGAAACACUUUAACACCCACUUGAAACCCGAUCUCUUUUCUUUUCAAAUUCGCGUAUGACUUUUGUCGAUUUGAAGCAGCUUUCAGAGAAUCAUGGAUUGCUUUCACUUUCUCUUCGGUUUCUCUAACCAGAUCAACCCAAUGAAUCUAUUUCUCACUAAGCUCGGUCUAAUAUAAAGGAUUUUGACAUUUGCGACCAUAAAAUGCUUCGCACGGUGCCAUUUGUAUACUCGAAUGAAAACUAUUGUUGUAGGCAAACUCGACCAAAGGUAGAUAUUUCUCCCAAUUAUCUUCGAAUUCUAAAACGCAACAUCAGAGCAUGUCUUCAAGAACUUGAAUUACUCUUUUGGAUUGACCGUUGGUUUGCGGAUGAAACGCGGUACUAAAAUUCAAUUUCGUACCCAAGGCUUCUUGCAAAUUUUUCCAAAACCUCGAACUGAACCUCAGAUAUCUAUCUGAAAUAAUUGACAUAGGCAUUCCGUGAAAACUCAAAACUUUAGUAAUAUACAACUCAACCAACUCAUCAAGUGAGUAGUCGGUACGUACCGGUAUAAAGUGAGCCAAUUUUGUCAAUUUAUCAACCACAACCCAAACGACACCUUUCUUUUUCGGGGUCAGAGGUAAACCUGUCACAAAAUCCAUCGUGAUUUUUUCCCCUUUCCACUCGGAAACCAUUACUGAUUGAAGUAUCUCUUGUUGGCAAAUCAAACACUUUGAUACAAAUUCAGAAAUAUCUCUUUUCAUUCCUGACCACUAAUAACAUUUCUUCAAAUCAUUAUAUAUUUCGUGCUACCUGGAUGAACUGAUAAACAACCACUGUGUGCCUUAUAUAAAAUUUUCUGAAUCAACUCAUCAUCUUUCGGUACACAUACCUUAUCACGAAACAUCAAGCUAUCAUCUGGUCUGAUUCAAAAACCUGAGUUACAGCCUGAUUCACACUGAGCUCACUUGGCUUUCAAUUCACUAUCGAUCUUUUAAGCUUCGCAAAUUUGCUGAAGAAAUAGCAGUGUAGCCCUCAACUCGGCCAAAAUAGAACCAUCAUCAGAUAAAGCCAAACUCAUACUCAUAGCUCUCAAAGCAAACAAUGAUUUUCUGCUCAAGGCAUCAGCGACUACAUUCGCUUUUCCUGGGUGGUAAUCAAUCUCUAGCUCUGUAACACCCCUUACCCAAGUCCGAGGUCGGGACUAGGCACGAGGCAUUACCUGACUUAACCACAUGCAUACAAUCAUUUCCAAGUUAUGAAAACUUGGUCAAACAUAAAAAUUUUCUCUUUUAAUCUAAAAGUUCUUAAUAUGGGCCUAUGAGGCCCAAAUCACAUUUUGGAACUAAUACAGGAUUAAUCCCAACAUCUUUGAAAACUUUGAAAAAUGCCACUUGAAGCAAGGCACAUGCCCGUGUGGAAGGGCAACAUGGUCGUGUGCCUAUUAUGACAUGGCCGUGCUAAAGACCCGUGUGGUUUACACGGCCUAUGCACAAGGGAACACGCUCGUACCCUGAGCCUGUGUGAAUUAAAUUCCAAAUUCGAACCUACAGGGGUUUUCACACUGCCUGACACACACCCGUGUCCAUGGCUCGUGUCCCUCACACAGCUAUGACACACCCGUGUCCUUGCCUGUGUCUAAAAACCUUGACAUUCUACUUCUGAUGUCAGCAGCAAUUUAGGGGCACAUGGCCAAGGCACACACCGGUGGCCAAAGGCCAUGUCCUCCACACAGUUGUGUUUCUGCCCGCGUGUUUACUACCAUGCAUACUGACAUGCAAAUUUGAGGUGCAGGGGACACACGGUCGAACAACUCGGCCAUGGAGCUGACCGUAUGUCACACAUGGCCUAGACACAAGUCCAUGUUUCUACCCAUGUGGACUAUAUAAGGCUAUCUACCAAGCCCCUUGCCACCCUGAAACACAAUCUAUCAUACCCAAGUCUAUAACAACAUGAUUUCUCAACUAAGAAACCAUAACUAAGGCCUAUAUACAUUUCAUACAUAUACGACCAUGGCAACAAUUUUCACAUUCAUGAAAGACUUUCUUGCAUUCAUAAACAAACUUUCAAUAUUAGCCAUUAUUCAUGGCCUUAUGCAAAAUGAGUCAAGUACUAAAUUAAGCCAACACAUUUGACCCCAAAACAAUGUGACACUUUAAAAAAAUCAAAGGAACCUAUACAUGGCAUAAUCAAAAUAAAUGAACUAACUAUACCAAGUGCUUUAAAAUGAUAAUGUGACUGGCUUCUCCGACGUAAGCGAUGAUCCACGAGCUACUUUGGUGGCACUAUAAGAAAAUGAAAAGGAAAUGGGGUAAGCAUAAAGCUUAGUAAGUUGCAUGAAAAUAAACAUCAACUAAUUAUCAUAGAACAAUAUGCUUAUAACCUUUCAUAGCUUAUUCAUGAAUACCAUAAAUAGAUAUAAGCACAACUUACUCAUCACCAUCCAAUACAAUUCAUAUGGCAUAUAUUGAGCCCAUAUCUCAUACAUUUCAAAUAGGUACCUGUACCACUCACCACAUGGUGAUAACUUUUCUCAUUUCGAUAUAAAUAAGAAAUAUUUCGUUGAACCAUUUGGAAUACUACCGGAUACUCAAUAGCCCUGAACAUGGGAUAAAAUGCCGACAACAUGUCCCAGACAUGGUCUUACACUGGCUAGCACAUUAGAGUCAAUGUCGUGUCCUAGAUAGGUCUUACACUGACUUUCAUAUAUCGAGGCUGAUGCCAUGUCCCAGGCAGGUCUUACACUGACACACAACAAGCUGACGCCAUGUCCUAGAUAGGUCUUACACUAGCUUGUAUAUCUCGAAACCUAUGCAUGUCCUAGACAUGUCUUACACUAGCUAUCGUCUCAAUGCCGAUGCAUGUCCCAGACAUGUCUUACACUAGCAUUCAUGAUGUGGUCGAUGCAUGUCCUAGACAUGUCUUACACGAGCUCACAUAUCACCCAAUGUCAUGGUAUGAAUAUCCAAGUCUAUUCCAAAUUUUCAACCGAAAUUCUUUACUACAUUAAUUUCUCAACAUGAAUUCUCAUAUUCACAUUCAUAACAAUUUAUGCAAUAUUAAUUCAAUCAUACAUCAUAACAAUAUGGUUGCAUUAUUGACAUACAACUUACAUCGAUAUACAAAACGUGAGCAACUAUUUUGACUUAGUCCGUGAGCUUGGCUUUUCCCCGAUCUAGGCUCGGAUUUUGUAAUUCUUGAUCUAAAAUGGAAAAAUUUGUUCAUUUAAUCAGCAUAUCAAUUUAGACACUUACAAAUUUAUAUUUUGGGUAAAAUGACCAUUUUUCCCCUAGGCCCAAAAAUCGAUUUUUAUCAAAUUUCCUUGUUAACCAAGCCUAGUCGACCAUUUAUUAACUUUUUCCAGCCCCAAAUUCCCACUAUUUCACACAAUUACAACCUAUUUAAUAACUUUUACAAAAUGGUCCCUUUCGAUGUUUUCCAUGAAACUCAUUUUACAAAAGUUGUUUAUUCCACAACCAUAACUCAUAUUCUUCCAUAAAAUUUCAUGUAACAUCACAUAUGCUUUCAUGGGAAAACCCUAGACUCUUAACCAUUUUGCAAAAUAGUCCCCUCAAUAGCUAGAUUAAGCUUUAGGGGUUCCAAAAAAAAUCAUCAAAAAUAACCAUCGAAAUCACUUACUUAUGAGAAAAAUUAGUGGCUGAAAAUUUCAAGCUUCCAAGACCCCCUUCUUGUUGAAAAUUUCGGUGGUGUAGAGAAGAAGAGAAAAAAAAGAUGACAACUUUUCUUUAUUUUACUCAAAUAGCUAAUGUCAUCAAUUACCAACCCUACUACAUUUUUUUGACUUUUUACUCUCCUUAUCUCUAUGGCCGACUACCUCUCUAAAGAGGGUCUAUUUUCCCUUUAAAGAUCUCCACAAUAUGAUUCAUAUUCAAUUUACCCCUUUAGCUAACAAAAUAGGACUUUUGCACUUUAUGCGGUUUAGUCCUUUUCGAAAUUAGGCUUACAAACGUUAAAAUUAAUUCACCAAAAUUUUCAUGCACUAAUAUAAUAAUGUUAUAACACCAAAAUAAUAAUAAAAUGAUUUCUCUAACUUCAAAUUUAUGGUCUCAAAACCACUGUUUCGACUAGGCCAAAAAUCAUAUUGUUACAAUUCUCCUCCCUUAGGGAUUUUCGUCCCCGAAAAUCUUACCAGUGAAUAGAUUCAAGUAUUGGUCUCUCAUGGUCUCCUCAGGUUCCCAUGUGGAUUCUUCGACUCCAUGUCUCUAUCACAAAACUUUCACGAGUGUUAUACUUUUAUUCCUCAACUAUUUAACCUCUCUUGCCAAAAUCUUAACCUACUAUUCGCCAUAAGUCAUAUCCAGCUGAAUCUCAACCUCAGUUGGCACAAUCACAUGCGAAGGAUCUGAUCUAUAUCUACGUAACAUGGACACAUGAAACACGUCAUGAAUCUUUUCCAACUCUGAGGGCAAAGCCAACCGAUAGGCAAUAAGCCCUACUCUCUAGGUAAUCUCAUAAGGUCCUAUGAAACGAGGACUCAACUUGCCCUUUCUACUGAAUCUGAGGAGUUUCCUCCAUGAGGACUCAGUUUGCGGGUGAAAAGUGGUGCUAAAAUUUAAUUUCAUCCCUCACCUUCUUGUAUCUUCUUCCAGAACCACAAGGUAAAUCUAGGAUCUCUAUCUGAAAUAAUUGACAGGGGCACUCCGUGAAGUCUCACGAUCUCAGAAACAUAUAGAUCAGCCAAUUUCUUAAAGGAGUAGUCGGUACGCACCGAUAUAAAAUGUGCUGACUUUGUAAACUUAUCAAAAACCACCUAAACUGCAUCCUUUUUCCUUGGCAUCAAAGGCAAUCCCGAUACAAAAUCCAUGGUAACAUGGUCCCAUUUCCACUCAAGAACCAUUACGGGUUGAAGCAAACCCGAAGGUACUUAGUGUUUAGCCUUCACUUGCUGAUAAACUAGACACUUAGAAACAAACUCAGAAAUGUCUCUUUUCAUCCCCGACCACCAGUACAUUUUCUUCAAGUCAUUAUACAUUUUCACACUACCCGGAUGGAUAGGCAAGCAACCAUUAUGUGCCUCUCAUAAAAUCCUCUGUAUAAACUCAUUAUCCUUGGGCACACAAAUUCUAUCUCGGAACAUCAUACAACCAUCGGUACCAAUACGAAAUUCUGAUUUAUUUUCCGUCUCACAUUGAGCCAUCUUAGCUUGCAAAUCCUUAUUACCUUUCUAAGCUUUACAAAUAUCUUGAAGGAACAUCGGCCUAGCUCUCAUCUCAGGUAGAAUUGAAUGAUAAUCAAUCACAGUAAAUUGAGUAUUCAUAGCAUUCAAGGCAAACAAUGAUUUCCUACUCAACGCAUAAGCGACUACAUUCGCCUUUUCGGGGUAGUAGUCAAUCACCAACUCGUAAUCCUUUAUCAACUCCAACCAUCUUCGUUGCUAUAAAUUCAGCUCCUUUUGAGUCACCAAAUACUUCAGACUCUUAUGGUCAGUAAAUACCUGGCAUCUCUUGCCAUACAAAUGGUGUCUCCAAAUUUUCAACGCAAACAGGAUGGCAGCCAACUCUAAAUCGUGCAUCGGGUAGUUUUUCUCGUGUGGCUUUAAUUGCCUCGAGGCAUAGGCUAUGACCUUGCCUUCUUGCACGAGCACACAUCCCAAUCCAUUUAAGGAGGCGUCGCUGUUCACCACGAAUUCUUUUCCCUGUUCCAGUUGCACUAAAACUGGAGUUUCGGUUAACAAGGUCUUUAGUUUCUCGAAACUCUGUUGGCACUUUUUCUAUCCAUUCGAACAUGACAUCUUUUUGUAACAACCUUGUCAUCAGAGUAGCUAUCAUUAAGAAUCCAUUUACAAAUCUUCUGUUGUACCUAGCCAAACCCAGAAAACUUCUAAUCUCUGACACAUUCCUUGGCAGUUUCCACUCUAUAAUGGCCAAUAUCUUACUAGGGUCAACUCUAAUCCCAUCACCCGACACAAUGUGUCCUAAGAAUCCUACCCCUCGGAGCCAAAACUCACUUUUGUUAAACUUAGCAUACAACUGCUUCUCUCUCAAAGUUUACAAAACCAUUCUCAAAUGUUUCGCGUGUUCACACACAUCUCAAGAAUAAAUCAAUAUAUCAUCGAUAAAGACCACCACGAACUUAUCCAAAUAUGGUAAAAAAUUACGGUUCAUCAAAUCCAUAAAUACCGUAGGGGCAUUUGUUAAACUGAAGGGCAUGAAAAGGAACUCGUAAUGCCCAUAGCUCGUCCUAAACGUGAUUUUCGGUACAUCUUGCUCCUUUACUCUGAGUUAGUAAUAACCGGACCUCAAGUUUAUAUUGGAAAACAUGGUGGAUCCUUUCAAUUGGUCAAAUAGAUCGUCGAUCCUUGGCAAGAGAUACUUGUUCUUCACUGUCACCGUGUUGAGCUAUCUAUAGUCUAUACAUAACCUUAUCGACCUGUCUUUCCCUUUUCACAAAGAACACUGGAGCACCCCACGGAGAAUAGCUCGGUCUCACAAAACCCUUAUCUGUUAGUUCUUGUAGCUGUACUUUCAACUCCUUUAAUUUCAUCAGAUCCAUCUUAUACGGUGAAACCAAGAUAGGUGCUAUACCAGAACCUAACUCUAUUCCAAAUUCAACUUCUCUCACUAGGGGCAGUCCCGACAAUUCCUCCGAAAAUACGUCUGUGAACUCACAAAUUACUGGUACUGACUCGAUCUUCAAUUCAGAUACUUGAGUAUUCAAUACAAAAGCAAGAUAAGCUUUAUAUCCUUUUCUCAAAUAUCUUAUUUCCGACAUGGAUGAUAUCAACAUAGGCAAGUUAUCCAUUCUACCCGAUUCAACCCGAAGAACAUCCCCGCUUUCACACUUCAACUCAAUAACUUUUCUCCCAUAGUCCACUACAACACUAUGAGAAGUCAACCAAUCCAUCCCAAGGAUUACAUCAAAUUCAUUAAACGACAAUAACGUCAAGUUAGCUAGAAAAUAAUGACCUCUAAUUGUCAAAAGACAUGUUCAUACAGGGUAUCAAUUCUCUAAAAAUAUAAGAGUGGCUAGACCCCGAGUCAAUUAAAGUAACAACAAAUAUAUCAUGGAUAGAAAACGUACCCGUAAUCACAUCGGGAGGCUCUGCCUCUUCACGGGCACGUAUAACAUAAGUCUUUGCAGGUGCCCUGCCCUCGGACCUCACAGCAGUAUCUCUAGGUGCACCUCUAUUGCUAGCCCCACUUCUAGGGUUCUUAUGUGGUUUGCCCCUUGAAGGAGCGUUACCCGAUCUCAUGCUUUGAUCCUUAUCUUUGUCAACAAUUUUGGGGCAACUACAGAUAAAAUGGUCUAACGACCCACAUUUAAAACAACCCCUUUUAGUACCUCGGCACUCGUUGAAAUGACGUCUACCACACUGUGAACAUUCUGGUCUAUUAGGGCGAGCACUACCAACACUCGCGAUAGAUGUAGUUUGGGCUUUUGUCACCGCAUACUGCUUAUUCUUGCUCUUGCUCGAGAAUCCCAUUGACAUGUUUGAUCGAGUAGGAAACUCUUUCGAUCUCUUGUAUGAAGUUUGAUGUGAUUUUCUUAUCUUUCUUUUCUUUGAGUCAUAAGACUUGAUGUCAGCUUUUCUCUUUUCUUUGGCUAACUCUUCAGCCUUGCAAGCUCUUUCAAUGAGCACCAAAAAUUCCCUUAGCUCUAUGAUGCCAACUAAUAAGCAGAUGUCUUCAUUCGGACCAUCUUCAAAUCUCUUACACAUGAUGGCUUCUGUAGAUACGCACUUCUGCGCAUAUUUUUCGAGCCUCACAAACUCGCGCUCAUAUUCUGUCACUGUCAUGCGGCCUUUUUUCAAUUCGAGGAACUCUUUCCUCUUUUGAUUGAUGAACCUCUGACUAAUGUACUUCUUUCAGAAUUCUUCCUAGAAGAAUCCCCAAGUUACUCUCUCUCUCAGUACGACUGACAUGAGAGUGUUCCACCACUAGUAGGCCGAAUCUUGUAGGAGUGACACUACACACUUCAUGCAUUCCUCGGGUGUGCAUAAUAGCUCACCAAAUACCCUAAUGGUAUUUUCCAACCAAAGCUCUGCUCUCUCCGGGUCAUCAUUAAUAUUUGCCUGAAAUUCCUCGGCCCUGUGCUUUCUAAUUCUAUCUACUAGAGGUUUCUCUCUUCUAACCAUUUCUGCUCCUUAAGGAGUUAUAUGAAAGGGUUGAGGAAUUGGGGGAGGUGGGGGAGGUGGAGUAUUUGGAUUCGCACGAAUAAACUCCAAAUAUCAUGCAUCCAUCAUGUUGAGGUAAACUUCUCUAGCCCCUCCGCCUUGACUCACUGUCAUGGGCCCACUAACGACUGGCACGGUCCCUUUGGUGGGAGACGGCGCAUUGCUUUCCACGUCAUCUAACGUAGCCACGUCAUGUUCCAUUUACUGUAUAUAAAAACACAAUUUAUCUCAUUAGGAGUCAUCACACUAUCAAUAUACAAUUAUAUCAUAUAUAGCUAGACUCGUACUCACGCUAGGUUAGUCCUAGAAUUGACUAAACCAUAGCUCUGAUACCACUAAAUGUAACACCUCUUACCCAAGUUCGAGGCCGAGACUAGACACGAGGCAUUACCUGACUUAACAUCAUACAUACAAUCAUUUUCGAGUUAUGAAAACUAGGUCAAACUUAAAACUUUUCUCUUUUAAUCUAAAAGUUCUUUAUAUGGGCCUAUGAGGCCCAAAUCACAUUUUGGAAAUAACACGAGAUUAAUCCCAACAUCUUUGAAAACAUUGAAAAAUGCCACUUGAAGCAGGGCACACACCCGUAUGGAAGGGAAACACACUCGUGUGGCCAUUUUGACAUGGUCGUGCUAAAGGCCCGUAUGGUUCACACGACCUAAGCACAAGGUGACACGCUCGUGCCCCGAGUCCGUGUGAAUUAAAUUCCAAAUUCAAACCUAUAAGGGUUUUUACACAGCCUGAUGCACGUCCGUGUCCAUGGCCCGUGUCCCUCACAUGGCCAUGACACGCCUGUGUCCUAGCUCGUGUCUAAAAACCUUGACAUUUUGUUUCUGAUGUCAGCAACAAUUUAGGGGCACACGGCCAAGGCACACGCCCGUGGCCAUAGGUCGUGUCCUCCACACGGCUGAGACACACGACCUUGUCUAUGCUCAUGUGUUUACUAACAUGUAUAUUGACUUGCAAAUUCAAGGUGAAGGGGGCACACGGUCGAACAACAAGCCUAUGGGGCUGACCGUGUGUCACAUGCGGCAUAGACACACCCCCGUGUGUCUACCCGUAUGGAUGAUAUAAGGCUAUCUACCAACCCCCUUUCCACCUUGAAACACAAUCUAUCAUACCCAAGUCUAUCACAACAUGAUUUCUCAACCAAGCAACCAUAACUAAGGCCUAUAUACAUUUCAUACAUAUAAGACUAUGCCAACAAUUUUCACAUUCAUGAAAGAAUUUCUUGCAUUCAUAAAACAACUUUCAAUAUUAGCCAUUAUUCAUGGCCUUAUACAAAAUGAGUCAAGUACUAAAUUAAGCCAACACAUUUGGCCCCAGAACAAUGUGAACUUUAACAAAAUCAAAGGAUCUUAUACAUGGCAUAAUCAAAGUAAAAGAACUAACUAUAUCAAGUGCAUCAAAAUGAUAGUGUGACUGGCUUCUCUGACAUAGGCGAUGAUCCACAAGCUAUUUUGGCGGCACUAUAAGAAAAUGGAAAGGAAAUGGGGUAAGUAUAAAGUUUAGUAAGUUCAUGAAAAUAAACAUCAACUAAUUAUCAUAGAACAAUAUGCUCAUAACCUUUCAUAGCUUGUUCGUGAAUACCAUAAAUAGAUAUAAGCACAACUUACUCAUCACCAUCCAAUACAAUUCAUAUGGCAUAUAUUGAGCCCACAUCUCAUACGUUUUGAAAUAGGUACCUGUACCACUCACUACAUGGUCAUAACUUUUCUCAUUUUGAUAUAAAUCAUAAAUCUUUCGUUGAACCAUUUGGAAUACUACCGGAUACUCAAUAGCCCCAAACAUGGGAUAAAAUACCGACACCAUGUCCCAGACAUGGCCUUAAACUGGCUAGCACAUUAAAGUCGAUGCCGUGUCCCAGAUAGGUCUUACACUGGUUUCAUAUAUCGAGGUCGAUGCCAUGUCCCAGACAGGUCUUACACUGGCUCUCAUCUAUCGGUGUUGAUGCCACGUCCCAGACAGGUCUUACACUUACACACAACAAGCUGACGCCAUACAGGUCUUACACUAGCUUGUAUAUCCCGAGGCUGAUGCAUGUGUCGGACAUGUCUUACACUAGCUCUCGUCUCAAUGUCGAUGCAUGUCCCAAACAUGUCUUACACUGGCACUCAUGAUGUGGCUGAUGCAUAUCCUAAACAUGCCUUACACUGGCACAUAUACCACCCAAUGUCGUGGUAUGAAUAUCCAAGUCUACUCCAAAUGUUCAAUCGUAAAUCUUUACUGCAUUAAUUUCUCAACAUGCAUUCUCAUAUUCAUAAUCAUAACAAUUUAUGCAAUAUUAAUUCAAUCAUACAUCAUAACAAUAUUGUUGCAUUAUUGACAUACAACUUACCUCGGUAUAUAAAACGUGAGCAACUAUUUCGACUUAGUUUGUUAGCUUGGCUUUUCCCCAGUCUAGGCCCAAAUUUUAUAAUUCUUGAUCUAAAUUGGAAAAAUUCAUUCAUUUAAUCAGCAUAUCAAUCUAGACACUUACAAAUUUAUAUUUUGGGUAAAAUAACCAUUUUUCCCCUAGGCCCAAAAAUUGAUUUUUAUCAAAUUUCCUUAUUAACCAAGCCUAGCCGACCAUUUGUUACUCUUAUGCCAGCCCCAAAUUCCCACUGUUUCACACAAUUACAACCUAUUUCAUAACUUUUACAAAAUGGUCCCUUUAGGUGUUUUCCAUGAAACUUACUUUACAAAAGUUGUUUAUUUCACAACCAUAACUCAUAUUCUUCCAAAAAAUUUCAGGUAACAUCACAUAUGCUUUCAUGGAAAAACCCUAGACUCUCAACCAUUUUGCAAAAUAGUCCCCUCAAUAGCUAGACUAUGCUUUAGGGGUUCCAAAAACACAAAACAUAUCAAAGAUAACCAUCUAAAUCACCUGCUUAUGAGAGAACUUAGUGGCUGAAAAUUUCAAGCUUCCAAGGGCCCCUUCUUACUGAAAAUUUUGGUGUGUAGAGAAGAAGAGAAGAAAAAAGAUGACAAGUUUUCUUUAUUUUACUCAAAUAGCUAAUGUCAUCAAUUACCAACCCUACUACAUUUUUUUUAUUUUUGACUCUCUUUAUCUCUAUGGCCAGCCACCUCUGUUAAAAAGGUCUAUUUGACCUUUAAAGACCUCCACAAUAUGAUUCAUAUUCAAUUUACCGGUUUAGCUAACAAAAUAGGACUUUUGCACUUUAUGCGGUUUAGUCCUUUCUCGAAAUUAAACCUACAAAUGCUAAAAUUAAUUCACCAAAAUUUUUAUGCACUAAUAUAAUAAUUUUAUACCAUCAAAAUAAUAAUAAAAUGAUUUGUGGUCUCAAAACCACUGUUUCGACUAGGCCCAAAAUCAUACUGUUACAAGCUCAUAAUCUUUUAUUAAUUCGAGCCCAUCUCCGUUGUCGCAAAUUCAAAUCCUUUUGAUUCAUCAGAUGCUUCAAAAUCUUGUGAUCGGUAAAGAUUCGACAUUUCUAACCAUGCAAAUAAUGAUGCCAAAUUUUCAAAGCAAAGGCGAUGGCAGCUAAUUCCAAGUCUUGCGUUGGAUAAAUCUUCUCGUGCGGUUUCAACUAUCUUGAGCAUAAGCUACUACUGUGCCCUCUUGCAUCAAAACACAACCAAGACCAUUCAAUGAUGCAUCACUAUAAAUCACGAACUCUUUCCCCAUCUAAAGUUGCACCAAAACCGAUGCCUCAGUCAAUAAUGCUUUCAAUUUCUCAAAACUUUACUGACAAUUAUCAGUCUAUUCAAACUUAACAUUCUUUUGCAGCAACUUAGUCAUAGGAGAGGCAAUAAUCAAGAAUCCAUUGAAAAAUGUCUAUAAUAGCUGGCUAAGCCCAAAAAGCUUCUAACCUCAAAUACAUUCUUUAGUGGUUUCCAAUCAACAUAUAACAACCCGAUUUAGACCCUAGUCAGAAUAGUGGUUUUGGGACCACAAAUCCGAAUCAAAAAAUAUUGUAAUAUUAUUUUCUGUUCUUAUUAUAUAUGAAUUGAUAUUUGUGAAAAUUUCAUAUGAAAAUUUGAUCGUUUGUGUGCUUAAUUUGAUAAAAGGACUUAAUUGCAUAAAAUGCAAAACUGUCCUUCUAUUUGAAUAAUGGCCGAAUUAAUGUGUCUCUUUAAAUGUGAGGUCCUUAUGAUGCAAAUAGACAAUGUUUAUAAUUAAAUGACAUUGAUGGACAUUAGUUAGUGGAAUUUUAAAUGAUAAUAAUAAGGUUAUUUUGGUAAAUUAUGUAUUAAUGUUAUGUUAAAUAAAACAAAAUGAAUUUGGUUGUCAUUCUCUCACCAUAUUGCCAAAAAUACAAGAGAAAAGAAAGUUUUUUUUUUCUUUCAACUAGGGUUCGGCUAUUACUUAUCUGAAUUAAGGUAUGAUUUUUGAUCAUUUUUUUUAUUUUUACAUUUUUGUGAUCGUUGUUUAGUAAUCUUUCAAGCCCAUGCCUCAAUUUCUGAAUUUGAUUAUGACUUUAAGUUAUGUCAUUGUUGAUUUUGUGAGUUUUGUAAUGUUAGUUGAUGAAAUAUGGAAGCUUGAUGAUAGAUACAUAUGUUUUGUAUUGGGAUUUUUGAUGAAUUCGAGUAUUUCGGGCUAAAUUAUGAAAAUAAGAAAUUGAAGGACUAAAAUGUGAAAUAAAUGAAAUAUGUGGGCUUGUAUGAGCUAAAGGAAUCUUUGGCCAAGCAUAUGUCUAAAGAAAUUUUGUGUAUUUUUUGAUUUUAUGAAUUAGGGUCUAAAUUGUUAAAAUGUGAAAAUGUGAGGGCUAAUUUGUAAAAUGCCCUAAAUAUGUGUUUAUGGAUUUAUUUGAAUGAAUGUGAGAUUGAAUAAGUCAAAUUUGAAUAUGUUUAGAUCAAGAACUAAAGAAAACAGAAUUAGAUCGAGGAAAGUCGAAAGUCGUUGAAUAGUUGCUCAUUUCUGUUCAAUUCCGUACAAGGUAAGUCAAUAUACAAAUAAAUGUGUUAAAUUGAAUUUUUAUUACUUAUAUGAUAUUUGAAUUAUGGUGAAUGGACAUAUGAGCUGAAUAUAUAAAAUUCGAGAAAGUUCUGAUAACGUGACGAUGUUUGAAAAGUCCCGUACAAACCAUAGGAAUAGCUAGGAUACAUAUGUCCGAUAUGUGAUUUCGUGUAAGACAACGUUUAGGACAUUGGCGUCGAUUUGAGAUUUACAUGUAAGACAAUGUCUGGGACAUCGGCAUCGUAUUUGAUUUCAUGUAAGACCCUGUUUGGGACAGUGGCAUCAAAAUUUUAUUACGUGUAAGACCACGUCUGGGACUUUGGCAUCGUACGAGCUUUCUAAGCUAGCCGCAUAUUCUAUUUGAUUUUGAUCGGUUCAAUGGGUAUUUCGAGAAAAUUAAUUACUAUGUGAAGUUGUAUCCGAUUUAGGUACAUUUGAAAUGUAUAUUAAGAUUGAGAAUGAAGGGUAAGCAUAUAUAAAUAUGUGGACAUAUGAAAUAUGUAUGAGUUAUUUGAGAAUGAGAUGUGCAUAUGUAGUUGAAUUAUGAACAAUUGAGCUAUAUAAGAAUUAUAAAUAUGUGGUUAUAUUUUUCCAUGAACUACAUGAAUGAAAUGAUUUAGAAAUGUGUUAUAUGAUAAGUUUAUUUGUAUAUGACUUACUAAGCUUUUGAAAGCUUACUUUGCAUGUGUUUGCAUUGUGUUUUAAAUAUCGAAGCUACUGGAGGCUCGGGGAUUGUCGAAGAUCAUCACCAUAGUAUCAAACGCUAUUUUGGUACCUUUUGAAAAUGCGUAUAUUGAAGUAUGGCAUGUAUAGGCUAGAAGUAUUUUAAUAUGUUUUUGAGUUGUGAAUAUUAGCCAUGUGAUAUGGCUUGGAUUUGGUUGUGAUUAUGAAUGAGUUUUGGUAUAAUCUAUAUGAUGCAAUAUUGUUAAUAUGAUGUGUUCUUGGAUGACCAAAUGAAAUGGUUAAUUUUGGUAAGUUUCAUGAUUGAUUUGGGAAGUUAAUAUGAUGUGAAAUGCUAUGAAUUGAAAUGGAUUAAUACAAUGUAUGAAUCAUGUGCUUUUGAUAUAAAAUUUGUACUUUGAAUUGGUAUGUUUGAGUUGGAUUUUUAUAUGGGAAUGAAUGAUGAUAUCAUGGGUCAAUUUGUGCAUGAUUUAGUAUGUUUUUGGCUGCCUUUGAAUCAUGAAAUGUGCUUUGUUUCAUGCUUGUAGGGAUUGUCCAAAAUGGGUGGCAAUUUGGCUUUGUAAAUAGCCUAUUUUUGUCUACAUGGGUGGGAAUGAAUGAUGAUAUCAUGGGUCAAUUUGUACAUGAUUUAGUAUGAUUUUGGCUGCCUUUGGGUCAUGAAAUGUGCUUUGUUUCAUGCUUGUAGGGAUGGUCCAAAAUGGGUGGCAAUUUGGCUUUGCAAGUAGCCUAUUUUUGUCCACACGAGCAGAGACACGGGCGUGUGUCUCAGCCGUGUGGGACACACGAUUAUGUUACACAGCCAUGUGUCCCCUAGAAUACCCUACGAUUUAAAGUUAGUAUACCCUACAAUUUUGACACGGCCUAGACACACUGGCAUGUCUAUCUGUCGUGUGUGGCACACAGGCUGGUACAUGGGCUUGUGGUUGGCCGUGUGAUCCAAGUUAGUAACCUAUCUAAUUUUCACACGGCUUGGUACAUAGGCUUGUCUUAUAGCCGUGUGGACAAGUCAAUAUGUAUGCCCUGUUUUGCCACGGCCUAGACACACGGGCGUAUCUAAUGUCAUGUGAGGCACACGGCCUGUUCACACGCGUAUGACCUUUGUAACUUAGAAAAAUGUUUAAGUUUUGAAAAAUUUUGUAUUUGCUCGGUUUAGUCCAGACCUAUUUCUAAAGCGUGUUUAAGGUCUUGUUGACCUAAGAAAGGGACUUUAGGUUGAUGUUUGACUUUGAUGCCAUGAUAUUUGUGUAAUGAAUGCAAAAUAUCCCGAUAUGUCCGGUAAUGCCUUUUAACCCUAGUUCAGUGAUGGAUACGGGGUUAGGGGUGUUACAUUUGGUUGGUAUCAGAGCUAUGAUUUAGUCGAUAUUAGGACUAACGUAGUGUAUGUGAGUCUAGCUAUACAUGCCAUAUAUAUGAACUGUGAUAGUGUGAUAAUUACUGACAAUGAAAAUGUGUUUUUAUAUAGUAAAUGGAUCCUGAACGAGCCGUAUCUGAUGAUGUUGAAAGUAAUGCGCCUGCUCCCGCUGAGGGGACAGCACCGUCUGAUUCUAGACCCGUGAUUAGUAGCCACAAGGGAAAGGCUAAACAAGCCUUUUACCAAAUGAUGAAUGAUUGGUUUACUUAGUAUAUUAGAACCAAUCCGGCUGUGCCACAACUUUCACCACCACUAAAUUCUCCGCAAGUCCCUGUAAUGCCACUAGCUAAUCCAUUCAAUUGAAUAAACCUCCAGUUGACAAAAUUAGAAAAUAUGGGGCCGAAGAGUUCCGUGCUACUACAACGAUGAUGCUGAGAGAGUUGAAUUCUGGCUAGAGAAUACGAUACGGGUGUUCGAUGAAAUGUCAUGUACUCCCGAAGAAUGUCUUAAAUAUGCCAUUUCACUUCUGAGAGAUACGGCCUAUCAUUGAUGGAAGACAUUGAUAUCAGUGGUUCCGAGAGAACGAGUUACCUUCGAUUUCUUUCAAGCUGACUUCUGAAAGAAAUACAUCAGUCAAAGAUUCAUCAACCAGAAACGCAAAGAGUAUCUUGAGCUAAAACAAGGCUGUAUGUGUCUCGACUGAAGAAAUAAUGUGCAAGAGAUUUGAAGAUGGCUUGAAUGAAGACAUCCGUUUGUUAGUCAGAAUUCUGGAAAUACAAGAAUUUGUAAUGCUUGUUGAAAAAGCAUGUAAAGCUGAAGUGUAACACCCCUUACCCGUGUUUGACGCCGGAACAGGGUAUGAGGCAUUACCGGACUUAAUCACUAAUCAUUGUAUAAAAAUCGAUUCAUAAUUUCACUCUAAUUCAAAACUUUUUCAAACACAUUCAAGCUAUCCCUUAAAAAGAGCUUACAAGGCCCAUAUCAUGCUUUAAUACAACCACACACAUAGGCAAGCAUGCACAUUCAUAAAUUGCAUCAUUUAAUUAAUAGCAUAAUCAAGACUAUCUACAUUAAAUGACUUUAUACAAUAGAGAACUUCAAAUAACAUAGGUCAGUAUUUUCAGCCAAUCCCUAGCAACUUAAUAAUAAUUAAACGAGUCUCCAUGCAUACCAAAGACUUAAAAUACUUUAAAACCUUUAUAUAUCGAUCAAUAGUUUGAUAGUGUGAUUUAACCUCCGGCGACCUCCAACUCGAGCUAACAUCUGCGACACUAUAGGAAAAAGGAAAGGAAGGGAGUAAGAAUUAUAGCUUAGUAAGUAAGUAUGUAAAUAUUAAUAAACAAUACAUUAUCAUACUUUAAACAAAGUCACAAUAUGUUCCCGGAAUAUUACCAUCACAAACACAUAUACUUUUACUAUUACAAUCAUAAACAGGUUCGAAAUAAGCUGUCUAGCAGAGUACCAGAAACUAAAUUAUUUAUUUUUGACGAUAAAAAACUAUAAAUUACAAACUUUUAAUUUUUAUUGAAACUAGAUUCACAUAUAUUCUUACCAUAAAAUUUUCAGAAUUUUUGGUCUAGCCAAUUAGUACAGUUUAUUCAUUGAAGUUACCCCUAUUUCACUGCUCAACUGUUCUGACCACUCUUCGCUACGAACCAAUUUUAUCCUUGUACAGAAUUAAAAGGAUGUUAUUGUUUAUUUAAUUUUAAACUAGACUCAUUAAGGAUUUUAAGCAUAUAAAUUAUAUCCCAUAAUUAUUUUUUUACAAUUUUUAAUGAUUUUUCCAAGUCAGAAUAGGGGAUCACGUAGUCAUUCUGAACCAGUCUCUCAAAAACUUAAAUAUCUCAUAAUAUAGAAUUCCUUUGCUUCCUCUAUUUCUGUUAUUUGAAAAUAGACUCAUUAAGCUCUAAUUUAAUAUCUCAUUCAGUCUCUGAUUCAAUUUCUACUAUUUUUGGUAAAUUUUUAGAUUCACGUCACUGCAACUAUCCAGAACAGUUUUAUUGUCAAUUUUGAUCUUUCACACUUCAAUUGUAUUCAUCACUUUCCUAUAACAAUCUUUCCAAUUUCCAAUCACAUAUCGAGCAUAUUGCUCAUAAGUUACACAUGUAUAUACUUACACUUAUCAUCACAAAUUCAUACACAAUUUCAUUUAAUCAAUUUCCCAGUUGAACACUUCGGAAUAAUAACAGAUACGCGAUGGUAUCGCACACAGCCCACCUUUAAAAUUGAAGCUCUCUUGUAUACAUAGUGGCCUUCACUUAGCACCACUCAUGUGACCUUGCUCGAUUGUACACAUAAUUUUGGCUCUCCUGUACACAUGGUGAACACUUAGUACCACCAAUGCGACCUAGCCAGUUUAUCUCGUAGCUCUCUUGUCUACAUGGUGUCCUUCAUCUGGAACCACGCAUGCGACCUAGCUACAUAUAUCCCGUAGCUCUCUUGUCUACAUGGUGUACUUAUAGUAUCACCCAUGUGACCUAGCUACAUCAUAAUGUCUCGUAGCUCUCUUGUACACAUGAUGUGCACUCAGCACCAUACAUGUGACCUAGCUACAUACCAUAUGUAUCAUCCAAUCUUUCCGAAGGUUCAACCGGGAUUUCUCUCUCUUUCUAAUACUUGAUUCCAUACUUCCAAUAGUCAAUUAUGAUUCAAAAAUCAGCUACAAUACAUAAAAUAUGCUGAAAUACAAAAACAUAAUAAAGAUAAUGUAUUAUUUACAUACAAACUUACAUACUUUUUCAUUUCCAUGUCGAAUUAAUAUUGAACAUUUAAA
rnacentral:lncRNA from 1 species